rnacentral:lncRNA from 1 species
CUAGGAUGAUGCUCUGGAACAGAUGGGAUAAUCCUUGCAGAAACGAAUCAAAAGACUCAAGCUUCUCAAGGUAUGUGAAUCGAAUGGUGACACAAGAGGCUGCGGAAAGGCUUCUUGAUACUCCUAGGCUUAGAUCGGAUAUGACACACCUCUCUAAAGCCCUUGGGCGUUGGAUAUUACACACCAACAGACUGGAUAUUACACACCAGACACACUUCAACUCGUCCAAGACAAGAGAGAAGAGAGAAAAGGGUUUUUGAUAAAAGAUUGCUUAAUGAUAAAGGGGGGUCACGACCAGAAUAUAAAGAGAGGCCCUUGUACAUGCACAAGGUCUCGAAAAUAGAAAUAAAAUAAAGGGAACAGGCUCCCUUGGAAACUAAACAAAGACCAAGUUUUCGAUAUUAUUCAAAACAUAAAACAUAUGAUAAAAAUAACAUAAGAUAGAUAAUGUGGUUGGUCCGGGAUCAUCAUCUAGGAGAUGUGAAAGUAAACUUGUGGCCUCGUUAAAAACCUUCCUUUGGAAAACCCAGUGGGACAAAACCAAAGGUUAGGAAAAGAGCACACACAAGCUACUUGCCUAGAUGAUGAUCAGCUUGAAGGUGGAGUAGCUUGAUUUGUGGUGAGUGUGUCUGGGUUGAUCAAGCUGCAACCAAGACAAUCUUCUUGCUUCCUUGACAUCUUGAGUAUUCCUCCAUCAGCUUCAUUGAGUUUCUUUGAUCUGGAACAAGUGUUGGGACCUUCAGGAAUGGCUAGGGCAUCUUCAUCUACAAGCUGGUCCAUGAUCACAUCAUCCCCUCCCUCUUCAAAAGGAUUUGACCUCAAAUCUGUUUUAUGUUGGGCUCUCCAUACUCCUGAUGCAUUCCUCAAACCUGAUUCACAAACAAUUAAAUAAAGCAAGUUAGUAUAUGAAGAUUUAUCAAAGAGUAAGAGUCUUAUCCCAAAGAGGUUUUUGCUCGGUUUUGGAUGGUAGGCUGCAUCUGGGGGUGCUUUUUUGAUGAGGACGAAGCUAGGGACGCCUUUGUGCUUAUCCUGGUCCAGAUCAGGUGGUUUGAAUCUCUUGUCUUCCUCACGCUUGUAGUUUCUUCUUGUAUGCUUCAAGGUUUCAUCAUAAUCUGCACAUGGCUCUUUUGACAAAGACAAGUGCAUCAUAUCUGUGUAAACAAUACAAAAAUAAUUCUUGAAGACAUGAUCAAUUACCUUAGGAUGCUCACCUGGUCGCCAUAGAUAGGAUUGAGAUGUUUUGAACUCAGAAAAAUUCAAACAAAGCACACAGAGGAUCAUCCGACUUGUAGAACCCAUAACUCUUUCAUCGGAGAAGCUUUGGACAUGAUUCCAAUUCGACGUGAGACCCUGAUGAGUUAAGUUUCCAUGGCAGUCGAUUUUGCUGAUUAAUUCCUUGUGGUGAUUGAGAUAUGAUCCUCGGACUGCUCCUAUGCCAAGACUGGCUGCUAGACAGCUUCCAAGGUUUGCUUGUUGUGUCUCCAACUUAGCCAAUGACUCAUCAUUGAUACUCUGAUAACUAUAGGCCCUCUUUUCGAAAAGUGUAGAGCUCAACACAGUUUGACCUGUUCGAACAGCAAGCAAAUCAGGUUUCAUAUUUUUCUUUGAGUUUAGAUAGAUACCUCGGGUUGGUUGCUUUGGAGUUUGUUGUAAGCUAUGUUGAUCUGGUGGUUUCUCCUUGAUUUGAGAAGAAAACGUGAGUUCUUCUCCUGAACCAGUAAUCACUUCACCAUUUUCUCCAGUGAAUCCUUGAUAGUGCUCUUGCAGGUCAUAAGACAAGGAUUCAUGAGCUGUUUCAGACUGCAAGUUUUUCUGCUGUUCUAACUCUUCUCCUUGUGUUGAUUGCUCUGGUUCUUUCUCUGAUGAGUCUUUUUCUGCAAGCUGUGUCAAAGAUAAAACACUACUCGGUUGCACCGGUUCUAGACAUGUUAGUUCAUCACAAGCUUGUGUAUUUUCAAGCAAGAAAUCAGAAUGAAAGGAGUGAUGAGAACACUCAUAAUUUCUCAGCAGAUUUGUUUCUUCAUGGUCUUUCAAGCAGUGUGAAGAAUCUGAGACUUCUUUCUCCUCAUAAGUGUUGUUCCCACGUUCAUCCUCAAGCUCUUGGGUUUCUUGGCUAAGGAAUAGAAAAGGUUCUUGAUUAUGUGCUUCAAUGAAUGGACGUGUUGUGUUGGUUGGCUUCAGUGGUUUCCCCACGUCCAUGCUCAACUGAGACAGCUCCUUGAUGUCCUCCUUACUGGUCCGGCUUGUUUUUUUGCUAGAUAAACUAAUGACACUGGUUGGACUUGAUCUCAGGUUGCCUUGUUGUUUCUGAACUGAGUUUGCAGAGCAUGUCUUUAUCUCAGACUGUUUUCGAAUUACUUCCUUGUGGUACUGUCUUGGAAUAAACUCUCUGCGCAUCAAAGUCCUCAGUUUAUGCCAUGUUUCCACAGAUUCUUUUCCUCUAAGUCUUCUGAUCCUUAUCAAGUGAUUCCACCAGCUUGAAGCAUAACUACAAAACUCAGCAGUAGCCAUCUGAACCUUCUUUCUUUCAGCAUAGUGUUGACAACUGAAAAACAGUUCUAUCUUCUCUUCCCACUUCACAUAUGCAGCAGGGUCAGGAUCUCCAAAGAAAAGAGGGAUUUUCAGCUUUUGAUCAGCAAAGUUGUUUCUGAUAUUGCCCUUGAUAUAAUCCUUAGAGAAUUCUCCUUUCUGAUCUCCUGCCAUGGUACCUGAGACAAGAGAAAAAAACUCAGCCAGUAAGCAGUUCACAACAAUUCAAUUUGCAAACCAGAAACAUAUUCAAAUCGAAACUUAAAACCUUAAACAAUUCUGAUUAAUUUUUAUCCCAGCCUGAUUAUUCUUACUCUUAACAGACCAAAACAAAAAUAAUAAACCCAAACACAAGCAGAUUCGAAAUCAGAUUCAACAAGAACAGAAACAGAUUUCAAACUGAAAUUAAAAUCUAAACUUCUCAGAUCAAUUUCGAAAUUUAAACAAAACAGAUCAGAAUCAACAGAUGAUGAUAUGAUAUUUAACAAUCACUGAUCUAUGAUGUAAAGAACAGAUCGAAAUAGAUUGAUAUCACUCAAACAGAAACAGAUCACACAGAUUUUACACAAGUAAACAUAGAUCUGAUUUCUCUGCAAGAAUAUGAAAAGUCUAAACACAAAAACGAAAUCAGAGAAAUAGACAAACACUUCCCUUCCAGAGAUGCUCUGAUACCACUUGAUGAGAUCCUAGGAUGAUGCUCUGGAACAGAUGGGAUAAUCCUUGCAGAAACGAAUCAAAAGACUCAAGCUUCUCAAGGUAUGUGAAUCGAAUGGUGACACAAGAGGCUGCGGAAAGGCUUCUUGAUACUCCUAGGCUUAGAUCGGAUAUGACACACCUCUCUAAAGCCCUUGGGCGUUGGAUAUUACACACCAACAGACUGGAUAUUACACACCAGACACACUUCAACUCGUCCAAGACAAGAGAGAAGAGAGAAAAGGGUUUUUGAUAAAAGAUUGCUUAAUGAUAAAGGGGGGUCACGACCAGAAUAUAAAGAGAGGCCCUUGUACAUGCACAAGGUCUCGAAAAUAGAAAUAAAAAUAAAGGGAACAGGCUCCCUUGGAAACUAAACAAAGACCAAGUUUUCGAUAUUAUUCAAAACAUAAAACAUAUGAUAAAAAUAACAUAAGAUAGAUAAUGUGGUUGGUCCGGGAUCAUCAUCUAGGAGAUGUGAAAGUAAACUUGUGGCCUCGUUAAAAACCUUCCUUUGGAAAACCCAGUGGGACAAAACCAAAGGUUAGGAAAAGAGCACACACAAGCUACUUGCCUAGAUGAUGAUCAGCUUGAAGGUGGAGUAGCUUGAUUUGUGGUGAGUGUGUCUGGGUUGAUCAAGCUGCAACCAAGACAAUCUUCUUGCUUCCUUGACAUCUUGAGUAUUCCUCCAUCAGCUUCAUUGAGUUUCUUUGAUCUGGAACAAGUGUUGGGACCUUCAGGAAUGGCUAGGGCAUCUUCAUCUACAAGCUGGUCCAUGAUCACAUCAUAUUGGCAGAGGAGACAGCAAGCAUCAGCUCUAUCAUCUCCAAACAACUGAGGCGCCUAGUCCUGUGGAGUCUGUGUGUUUAAGCAGCACAACGGAUAGGUGUGAUAAUCUCACAUGGCAUGCAAGGCUGGGACAUCCUCAUGCCAAGGCAAUUGAACUGAUUCUACCAAGUAUGGCGUUCAAUCACUUGGAGUGUGAAGCUUGUAUACUUGGAAAGCACUGUAGGACUGUCUUCCCAACAUCAGAAACCAGAUAUGAGAAUUGCUUUGAUCUGGUGCAUUCAGACGUGUGGACAGCUCCCUGUAUGUCUAGAGACAGCCAUAAGUACUUUGUGACUUUCAUUGAUGAGAAGUCAAAGUACACAUGGAUCACCAUGAUUCCCUCCAAAGACAGAGUCCUAGAAGCCUUCAUGAACUUCCAAGCAUAUGUUACUAAUCAGUACAAUGCCACUGUGAAGAUUCUGAGGUCUGAUAAUGGAGGAGAAUACACUAGCAAUGCUUUCAAGAGUCAUCUUGCAAAGCAUGGGAUUGUGCAACAAACUAGCUGUCCUUACACACCACAACAAAAUGGGGUGGCUGAGAGGAAGAACAGACAUUUGAUGGAGGUUGCGAGAUCAAUAAUGUUCCACAUGAAUGUCCCUAAGAGGUUUUGGAGUGAUGCUGUUCAGACUGCUUGCUAUCUCAUCAAUAGAGUGCCAACCCGUGUCUUGAAGAAACUGUCUCCCUUUGAAGUACUGAACAAGACCAAGCCACACAUUGAUCAUUUGAGAGUCUUUGGGUGCUUAUGUUAUGUGAUGAUUCCCGGAGAAAGAAGGAACAAGCUAGAAGCAAAGAGUACUAAAGCUAUGUUCAUUGGGUACUCAAUCACUCAGAAAGGCUACAAAUGUUAUGAUCCAAUAACUAGGAGGGUUAUGGUAUCUAGAGAAGUGAAGUUUGUUGAGUCUAAAGGGUAUUAUGAGGAGAAGAAAUGGGAAGACCUAGAGGAUCUGUCCAGAGCUCCAUCAGAGAAGGCAACAACAUUGAGAGUGUUGUUGGAGAGGCUAGGGAUAGGAUUAUCCCAAGAUCAGGAACCAGGAAGAACAGGACCUUCUAAUCAAGCUGGAGAAGCUGGAGGAACAACCCCUCUUGAUCAUGAGAGGGGGAAUGGAUCUGAAUCAGGGGAGCAGGAGCAUAACCAAGAGGAUUCAGGUCAGCAUGAUCAGGAGGAGACACAGGAAGUAGAGAGUGAAGCUCAGUCAGGUGGAAAUGAGCAGGGAGAACCUACUGGUUUAAGAGAGGAAGCACAAGAGAAUGUUCAGGCUGAAGAACAGGUUGAGACCUUGCGGAGGAGCACAAGGAUAAGGAGGGAUCCUUCCAACUGGGUAAACACGAGAGUGUACUACAAUGCCCAGGCUGUGGAGCAUCCCUCUCAAGCCGUGUGUUCCUUUGCUGAGUUUCCAGAAGAGCACAUGGUGUUUAUGUGUAACUUGGAUGAGAAUGAGAUACCAAGAUCUUAUGAAGAAGCUAUGAAGCACAAGGUUUGGAGAGAUUCAGUAGGAGAUGAAAGGGAUGCAAUGAUCAGGAAUGAUACUUGGUAUGAGAGUGAGUUACCUAAAGGGAAGAAGGCAGUUUCAAGCAGAUGGAUCUUCACCAUCAAGUACCUUGCAAAUGGAGAGAUAGAUAGGCGCAAGACUAGGCUGGUUGCAAGAGGAUUUACACAGACUUAUGGGGAAGAUUACAUUGAUACUUUUGCACCAGUGGCCAAGCUUCACACAAUUCGAAUUGUGUUAUCUAUUGCAACAAACUUGGAGUGGGAUUUGUGGCAAAUGGAUGUGAAGAAUGCUUUCUUGCAAGGUGAACUUGAAGAUGAAGUAUACAUGCAUCCACCUCCUGGUCUUGAGCAUCUAGUAAAGCCAGGGAAUGUUUUGAGAUUGAAGAAAGCAAUAUAUGGGUUGAAACAGUCACCUAGAGCUUGGUACAGGAAGCUGAGUACAACACUCAAUGGGAGAGGCUUUAGGAAGUCUGAACUAGAUCACACUCUCUUCACCUUGACAGGACCUUCAGGGAGCAUUGUGAUUCUAGUGUAUGUGGAUGAUUUGAUUAUCACAGGAAGUGAUAAGGCAGGGAUUCAGGCUACUAAGGAGUUUCUCAAAUCUGUGUUUGACAUCAAGGAUUUGGGAGAGAUGAAGUAUUUUUUGGGGAUUGAGAUAUGCAGAUCUAAGGAGGGUUUGUUUAUGUCUCAAAGGAAGUACACUAUGGAUAUGCUGAAGGAGACUGAUGUGCUUGGAGGAAAGAUAGCUAAGACACCUCUUGAGGAAGGGUAUAAGGUCUUGCGUGAGGGGGAGGUUGAAGAGAACCAGUUGUUUGAGGAUGCUAAGCUGUAUAGGAGGAUGGUGGGUAAGCUGAUCUACUUGACUAUCACCAGACCUGAUAUAUGCUUUGCUGUGAAUCAAGUGAGCCAACAUAUGCAGGCGCCAAAGGUACAUCACUGGAAGAUGGUUGAUAGGAUACUAAGGUAUUUGAGUGGCUCGCAUGGACAAGGAGUUUGGAUGGGUUGCAAUGGCAGUACAGAAGUGGUUGGGUAUUGUGAUGCUGAUUGGGCAGGAGAUAGAGUGGACAGGAGAUCAACUACUGGGUAUUGUACAUUCAUUGGAGGGAAUCUGGUUACUUGGAAGAGUAAGAAGCAGAAGGUCAUCUCCUGUUCAAGUGCUGAAGCUGAGUAUAGAGCUAUGUUGAAGCUUACAAAUGAGUUAGUGUGGAUCAAGGGUAUUUUGAAGCACUUGGAGAUCGAGCAGACCACACCUAUGACAAUGCAUUGUGACAAUCAAGCAGCUAUCCACAUUGCUUCCAAUUCAGUGUUUCAUGAGAGAACAAAGCACAUAGAAGUGGAUUGUCAUAAGGUGAGGCAGAUGAUUAUCUUGGGAGUGAUUCUGCCAUGCUAUACAAGAAGUGAAGAUCAGCUUGCAGAUGUGUUUACUAAGGCAGCGAGAUUAAAGACAAUGGAGUCCAUACUAUCAAGGCUUGGACUCAUUGAUCUUACUCCCAGGAGCUGAGCCCCUUAACCAUGGAGUCUCCACUCUUUUUCCCUCAUCAAGGUUUUAUCCCAAUGGGUUUUACUUGGUGAGGUUUUUAAUGAGGGAGGUCUUCAUGGUUUCCAAGCUUGACUUGUUCUACAUGGUCAAGCUUGAGGGGGAGUAUUGAGAUGAAGACCAAGGAGAGACAGUAACUUUAGAGUUUUACUGUGGUAACUUUAUUUUAACCACAGUAACUACUUGGGAAGUUAUCUGAUGAGAUGAGAAGGUAACUUAGUGAAGAGAAGAAGGUAAACUCGACCAAAGAGGAUAAGGAAGGAUAAGGGAGCACUUUGACAGCCUGUAUGAUGCUGGAAAGGAGAGAAUGCUUUUUCACUAGUGCAAGCAUGUGAGAAAGCACAGCCAAGUGAUUCAAAAGGAGUUCCAGCCUGUCCUUUGACUACACAUGCUUAUACAUUUCGAAAUUCCUUGUUGCUCUCUCUUUAUAUACUUGUAAACCCUCAUCAGUUAUUAAUUAAUGGAGUUUUGAGUCUCUCUCUCUUUAUUCUCUCUCUAAUCUCUUAAUCUCUUUAAUCUUCUCAUCUGAUUAUCCCUGAUUAGUUGAAUCAUGCUCUAAUACACAAAAGUGUAUACUUUCCAAUCAUCUUGCUGCUUUUAAUAUCCUGAAACUUCACAUCAUUAGGACUGAAGAUAACAUUGCAUUGCAAAUCAGUAGCACAUUUCUUAACAGAUAACAAGUUUGAUGUAAAUUCAGGCAUAUAAAAAGCUUUAGUUUCCUUAUCAAAUAGUUUAAGACUUCCUAUUCCUCUAAUAGGAAUCUUAUCUCCAUUAGCAAUCAGAACAUUUCCAUUCAUUGGCACAAUGUUUUUAAUUAAGCUAGUGUCACUUAUCAUAUGAUGAGAUGCACCUGAAUCAAUCACUAAUGGUUUAAUGUCAUGAGAACUAGCAAUAUGCGCAAGGAUACUAGAUGGUUUGAAUGCAUGAUCAUUUCUAGCAAAGUUUGCAGUCCUAGAUUGAUUUACCAUUUCUAUCAAGCUCUCAUGCAUCCUAUCAGUUCUAGUUAGAUUCUCAUAGUUCUCUGUUGAGAUGAGGUGAUAAAGAGUGGAUACAUUGAUAGAGGAAGAGUAUUGGGGCAGAUAGUAACUUUGGAGUUUUACCACAGUAACUUUAGUUUUACUGUGGUAACUAAGUUAAAGGCUUAGGAAGUUACCUUGGAUCACUUUGGUGAGGAGGAGCACGCCCAAGAGGAAUCAGGAUAAGGGAGGAGCUGUUUGGAUAAGGUCUGGUCAUAGCUGGAAAGGUAAAGCUACUUUACAGCCUGUCCAAGCAUGUGAAGCCUCUCAGCAGCCAGCUAGCCUUGACUUCACAUGCUUUCAGUCCCAUUUCGAAAUCCCCUUUGUAUUAGCCUUAUCUCUUCAUAUAUAACUUGUAUCUGAUACAUUAAAUCAAUUAAUGGAGUUUUGAGUAUUCUCUCUUGUUCUUUAUUCUCUUAGUCUCUCUUAAUCUCCUAAUCUCAUACAAACUACACAAAUCAUCUCUUGAUAUUCAUUCAUCACUCUACAUACACAAAAGUGUAUAUGGUAUCAGAGCCAGGUUGCGCAAAGGGGAGAGUGUGUUUGAUUAUGAUUUUCGAAAUCUGAGUUUCUUGAGGUGUUCUUGAGGUGUUCUUGGUGUUCUUGAUGUGUUCUUGGUGCUUUUUGGUGUGCUUGAGAUCAAAUUGAGUCUGUGGAGAGUUUCUGAUGGAUUCAAACGAGUUAAGCAUGGUGGAGGAGACAAGAUCAAGAAGUGAAGAGAAGAAAGAGAGAGAAAACGAGUGUGCUUGGUCAAGCUGGAUAAAGACAGCUUUUGAAAGCUGUGGGAUUUGGAGUAAUCAUGAAAAGGAAGAACCUUUAAAGGUGAGAGCUGCUGAGAAAGAUCAGACAGCAAGUUUGGAGGAGAUUCAAGUAAAGGUGGAACCUUUAAGGGAGGUAGCUGCUGAAGAAGGUCAUACAGCAAGGUUGGAGGAGAUUCAAGUAAAGGUGGAAUCUUUAAAGGUGGUAGCUGCUGAAGAAGGUCAGACAGCAAGGUUGGAGGUUCAUGAAGCCAAGGGCGUGAUCUAUAGUCUAAGACAAGGGAAGAACGAGUUGUAUCAGCUUGUGGGGAGGCUGAGAGAAGUAGAAUCAGAGUUGAGUAUGGUGAAAACUCAUACAGCAAGUCCGAGUUGGUGUCAAGGAAGGAGGAAGCAAAAUGUGAUCUUUGGCUUUCUUAUGGGAGAGAUAUGUGAGCUGGUUGAACACAUGUGUGAUGUGUGGGAGAUAAACAAUAAGGCAGAUAGAUGGAAGAGAGGUACAAGCUGCAAGAAGGGAAAGUUGAGAAAACUUUCUAAGAUGUGGGUCAUGAUGAGCAGAUUAUGGAGGAAGGAUAUCAAGGAGAGUAUGCAAGUAGGAGAAUGCUUGUACUCAGCUUACAUUGGAGAAUCUGUAGAGAGCAGUGGGGUUAUGAGGAAGCUAGAGACCAAAGGAGCUGAUGAGCCUGUCACAAAGGAGGAAUGGGAUGAGUUUGUCAAGUAUGUGUAUGCUUUGGCUACGACCCGGAGACAAGGUGCUCCUGCCAAAGCAUCCACAUCCAACAAACCCAUCAUUGUUGAUUCUGGAGCAAGUCAUCACAUGAUUAGUGACAGAAGCUUAAUGAGUGAUGUAAAGAAAGCUACUGGGGGUGUGAUGAUAGCUAAUGGUGAUAGGAUUCCAAUAGAAGGAGUUGGAAAGCUCAAGCUAUUUGAUAAAGACUCAGAUGCCUUCUACAUGCCACAGUUUGCUUCAAAUCUACUAUCUGUGAGGAAAGCCACGAUUGAUCUUGGCUGUCAAGUAGUAUUCAGGCCAGAUGAUGUUGAGUUCCAAGAUUUGAAGACUGGAAAGGUCAUUGGGAGAGGAGACAGCAAGAAUAAUCUAUACCAGCUCCAAUUGGCUAAGAUCUCUAAACCCUUUGAUUCUAUGUGUUUGAGUAGUACUUAUGAGAAGAUUGAUAGUAUUACUUGGCAUGCUAGAUUGGGACAUCCUCAUGCUCGUGCUAUUGAAUUGAUACUUCCUAAUAUGUCAUUUAAUCACUUGGAGUGUGAAGCAUGCAUAUUAGGAAAGCAUUGUAGGACUGUUUUUCCAACAUCAGAAACUACUUAUGAGCAUUGCUUUGAUCUAGUUCAUUCAGAUGUGUGGACUGCUCCUUGUUUGUCUAGAGAUAGCCAGAAGUACUUUGUGACAUUCAUUGAUGAGAAGUCUAAGUAUACUUGGCUUACAUUGCUUCCAUCUAAAGAUAGGGUGCUAGAAGCAUUUAUGAACUUCCAAGCAUAUGUAUCUAAUCAAUACAAUGCUACUGUGAAGGUACUGAGAUCAGAUAAUGGAGGUGAAUACAUCAGCAAUGCCUUCAAGAGUCAUCUAGCCAAGCAUGGGAUUGUGCAUCAGACUAGCUGCCCUUAUACACCACAGCAGAAUGGUGUAGCUGAGAGGAAGAACAGGCACUUGAUGGAGGUUGCUAGAUCGAUGAUGUUUCAUGCAAAUGUCCCAAAACGUUUUUGGAGUGAUGCUGUGCAGACUGCUUGCUAUCUCAUCAACCGGGUUCCAACCAAGAUAUUGAAGAAUCUGUCUCCAUUUGAAGUGUUGAACAAGAGCAAACCUGUCAUUGAUCACCUACGUGUCUUUGGGUGUGUGUGCUAUGUCAUGGUUCCAGGAGAGCAGAGAAACAAGCUGGAGGCAAAGAGUACUAAGGCUAUGUUCAUUGGUUAUUCUAUCACUCAGAAGGGGUACAAGUGCUAUGAUCCUGAAGCAAGGAGGGUGAUGGUAUCUAGAGAAGUGAAGUUUGUUGAAACAAAAGGUUAUUAUGAAGAAAAGGAGUGGGAAAAUCUGAAGGAUUUGUCUCAAGCUCCAUCUGAUAAGGCAACAAUACUGAGAGUGUUGUUGGAGAAGCUCGGGAUAGGGUUAUCCCAGGAUCAGAAACCCGGAAGGAGAGAGCCUUCCAAUCAGACUGGUGGAGCUGGAAGAACAACUCCUCUUGAUCAUGAGAGGGGGAAUGGAACUGAAUCUGGUGAGCAAGAGCAAAACCAAGAGGAUUCAGGUCUUCAUGAUCAAGAUACAUCACAAGAAGUUGAGAACAAUGUUCAGUCUAGUGGAGAAGUGGAUGAGGUUCAGUCUAGUGGAGAAGUGGAUGAGGUUCAGUCUAGUAGAGAAGAACAAGUCAGACCAGCCAGUUCAGAAGAAGAGCAAGUGGAGCCGGCUAGUGUGCAAACUGAAGAUCAGGUUCAAGCUUUGAGGAGGAGCACAAGGAUAAAGAGGGAUCCUUCCAACUGGGUAAACACGAGAGUGUACUACAAUGCCCAGGCUGUGGAGCAUCCUUCUCAAGCCGUGUGUUCCUUUGCUGAGUUUCCAGAGGAGCAUUAUGCCUUUAUGAUUAGUCUGGAUGAGAGUUAUGUACCAAGGACUUAUGAAGAAGCUAUGUUAGACAAGGAAUGGAAAGAAUCAGUGGAAGCUGAAGCAGGUGCUAUGAUCAAAAAUGAUACAUGGUAUGAGAGUGAGCUGCCUAAGGGAAAGAAGGCUGUAUCUAGUAGAUGGAUCUUCACAAUCAAGUAUCUAGCAAAUGGACAGAUUGAUAGGAAGAAGACCAGAUUGGUUGCAAGAGGAUUUACACAGACCUAUGGAGAGGAUUACAUUGAUACCUUUGCACCAGUAGCUAAGCUGCACACAGUUCGGAUUGUGUUGUCCAUUGCAACAAACUUGGAGUGGGAUUUGUGGCAAAUGGAUGUGAAGAAUGCUUUCCUGCAAGGUGAACUUGAAGAUGAAGUAUACAUGCAUCCGCCUCCUGGUCUUGAGCAUCUAGUAAAGCCAGGGAAUGUUUUGAGGUUGAAGAAGGCAAUAUAUGGGCUGAAACAAUCACCUAGAGCUUGGUACAGGAAGCUGAGUACAACACUCAAUGGGAGAGGUUUUAGGAAGUCUGAAUUAGAUCACACUCUCUUCACCUUGACAAGACCUUCAGGGAUCAUUGUGAUUCUAGUGUAUGUGGAUGACCUGAUUAUCACAGGGAGUGAUAAGGCAGGGAUUCAAGCUACUAAGGAGUUUCUUAAAUCUGUGUUUGACAUCAAGGAUUUGGGAGAGAUGAAGUAUUUUCUGGGCAUUGAGAUAUGCAGAUCAAAGGAGGGUUUGUUUAUGUCUCAAAGGAAGUAUACUAUGGAUAUGUUGAAGGAGACUGAUGUGCUUGGAGGAAAGAUAGCCAAGACACCCCUAGAGGAUGUUAACUUGAAGAGAAGAAGUGGAGAAGCAAAAGUGAUGAGUUGAGUUGGUGCUUGUGCAAAGACAUGGCAAGAUCUUCAGAGAUUGUAUGUUAAGGCUUUGGGAGAGUCUUAAGGCUUCAGAAGUGGUCUGAUGAGUGUGCAAAGAUAGGGUUAAGUCCAGGAGGGACUUAGACACCAUUUAGAGAAGAUUUGGGUCAGACAGUAACUCCAAAGUUACCACAGUAACUUUGGAGAGUUACCACAGUAAGAUUGGAGAAGUUUGGGCAAGUUUGGUGUAAAAGUGAAUAGUGAAUCACUAGUCACUAUUCAGGUUGACUAUUCACUAUUUGGAUCACUAUUCAGGAUGUGAGGCACCAAGGUUUGAAUCUAGUCAAAGGGAAUCAAGAAGAUGCUGUGUGGAGCUGAUUGGUUACUUUGUGGCAUGGACAGGCUGGCUGUUGCUGUAAAGGAAGAGCAGCCACGACCAUGCACCUAGACUGAUCUGUAGACAGAUACAAAGGAGCCUAAGGAGAGCCAAUCACAGCACAGCCUUGUUUGAAUUAAAGUGAGCCAGCUUAGCUUAUCCAAUCAGCACACUUCACUCAGAUUACAACAAGACCAACUCAUCCUCACCAUCCAUUCCCCUUAAGUUAUUUCUAUCCAUUAGAUAUAGGUUUAUGAGUUGCAAUAAUGUAAAGCCUAUAUAAGGAUGUGUCUUGGACGUUUUGUAACUCUUAAGAGAGUAUGGGGGAUUUCCCCAUCUCCUUCAUAAAUAUAAAAGUGUGUUCUUGAUCAGAUUCCCUUAAUCUACCCCUUUCUUAGUCUCUAAUCUCCUAAUCUCUCUAAGUCUCUUUGUUUCUGAUUCAAGUUCAUACUAGUUUCAUCAGACCUCUUAUUCAACUAGUUCAAGACCUUAUUCUUUGCCUCUAAUGGCUUCUCAUACACAUAUACAGCCAGAGCUCUCAAAUCUCAUAUGGUAUCAUAUGAUUGAAAAACCUGAGGAUAAUGUGUGAUUGCUAAAUAUAAUUAGUUGAAUCUGUCCCAGGAUGCUUUAAAGGCUUGUUUAGUGUUUAAAGAGUAAAAUGCUUGCUCCUGUUAAGUAAUGAGUUUGCUAAAUGUGAAAUGAUAUUGUUUGAAGCUCAUGAACUGAAAACAGAUUGAAAGUAAUGCAUUGUCUGAUGAUAAGUGAUGAUAGUAAUGCUUAGCCUAAGUUAUAAAUGAAUGUGUGAUGAAUUGUAUUGUUGCAUUCAUGAAUUAAAACUGAUUAAGGUUAGUGCAUACUGUCAAAUGGCUGUCUUACAUUGAAGCAUUAGAUUCAUGUCUAAAUGCUGAGUAAAGAAGCUUUAAAAAUUGCCUAAGUAGCUUGUAUUGAAUCUGUUAGGAUCAUGCUAGUGCUUAGAGAGUUUGCUUGCAAAGAUUAGAACUUGAAAAUGUCUAGUUUAAUCUGUUGCAUUGCUUAAAGACAUUGGUGUUCAAACUUGAUGAUGCAUCAAGGGUUGACCCAAUGCACUUGUGUCUUAUCUUUGCUGGAGUUUGAGUGAUGUUUCAGGUUCACAAGAGGUGUUCUUGGUUCACCAUCCAUCCGAGUUGAAAGAGGAAGACUUUGCCAUUGUGUGGAGCAAUGGAGAAUUGAGAAAGGAGUGGUGAUGCGCCACUGGUGAGAAGUUUCACUGAAGCUCACUUGCAAGCUUGGACUUAUAAUCAAUCCAAGCUUGAGGAGGGGAGUUUAGUGAGCUUCCAAGCGAUCCAAGAAGUCCAUUGCAACCAUCUGAAGAAGGAGCCAUCCGGGCUUAGGCUGUGGCGAGUCUAUUCAAGAGAGUACUCAAACUAAGACAGAGUACUCUUGGCUGUGAGAAGAUGAAGGCAACUCUAUCAAGGCGGCUUCUAGUGUGAAGUGAUUGGAGAGAUAGCUGAAGCUUCCACAAGCAUUCCAUGAAGAUGGCAAGAUCAGAAGAGAAGCGGCAAUGGUGUGUGUGUGAGGAUCAUGAAGCAAUCCAUUCAAGCUUGUUCCUGUGAGAGUCUCAAGCUUGAGGGGGAGUGUUGAAGCUUACAUGAUCCAAGAGAGCUUGGUGGUUAUUCUAGAAGAGGAAGCAACCUGUUGAGAAGUAUGAUGAAGGAUGAAGAAGCAAUGUCCAAGGCGGCUUCAAGUGUUGAGGUGAUUGGAGAGUGGCUGAAGCAUCCUCAUGUAGCUCAAGCAACAAGGUGGCGACUCUAUAAGAAGAAGAAGCAGCCAAGACUCAGUAAGAGAAGUUGUAUCUCCAAGAAGAGGCUGAUCUGGUGUGUCCGAGCACUUCAACCUAACAAGAGGUUAGGUGAAAGGGGGAGAGACCAAGAUUAGGCAGUAAGGAGAGUACAAGGCGUGGGAUGAUUGUAGAGGCCAUGAUCCAGAGUCUUUGUGUCCCUUACAUUGUUGGUAAGGCACAAAGACUCACUGGCUAAUCCCUAGGCCUUGGAGACUUUACUCUUUUUCCCUCAUCAAGGUUUUGUCCCAAAGGGUUUUCCUUGGUGAGGUUUUUAAUGAGGAAGUUCUUCAAGGUUCCAAGCUUGACUUAGGAUCAGCUAGAGUCAAGCUUGAGGGGGAGUGUUAACUUGAAGAGAAGAAGUGGAGAAGCAAAAGUGAUGAGUUGAGUUGGUGCUUGUGCAAAGACAUGGCAAGAUCUUCAGAGAUUGUAUGUUAAGGCUUUGGGAGAGUCUUAAGGCUUCAGAAGUGGUCUGAUGAGUGUGCAAAGAUAGGGUUAAGUCCAGGAGGGACUUAGACACCAUUUAGAGAAGAUUUGGGUCAGACAGUAACUCCAAAGUUACCACAGUAACUUUGGAGAGUUACCACAGUAAGAUUGGAGAAGUUUGGGCAAGUUGGUGUAAAAGUGAAUAGUGAAUCACUAGUCACUAUUCAGGUUGACUAUUCACUAUUUGGAUCACUAUUCAGGAUGUGAGGCACCAAGGUUUGAAUCUAGUCAAAGGGAAUCAAGAAGAUGCUGUGUGGAGCUGAUUGGUUACUUUGUGGCAUGGACAGGCUGGCUGUUGCUGUAAAGGAAGAGCAGCCACGACCAUGCACCUAGACUGAUCUGUAGACAGAUACAAAGGAGCCUAAGGAGAGCCAAUCACAGCACAGCCUUGUUUGAAUUAAAGUGAGCCAGCUUAGCUUAUCCAAUCAGCACACUUCACUCAGAUUACAACAAGACCAACUCAUCCUCACCAUCCAUUCCCCUUAAGUUAUUUCUAUCCAUUAGAUAUAGGUUUAUGAGUUGCAAUAAUGUAAAGCCUGUUGAGAUGAGCUGAGUAUAAGAAGAAGAGAUGAGGGGUUGAAGGCAUGAAGAGAUAAGGAAGUGUAGAACUAAGGAAUGGAGAGCAUGGGAGAGUUUGGGAGAGUUUGGUACGGAUGGGCCGUACAGGCCGUACUGGCCGUACCGGCCGUACACAUUGUAUCGACCAAGACUCGACCAAAGGUAAAAGAGACUUACCCGGGUAACUCGGUUGAAGGGAAGAAGCUUUACCCAAAGCUUAGGAUGAGUUGUGACCGUUAAGGGAAAGGAAGAAGCUGGGCGUGACAGUCUGGCACAGCUGGAAAGGUAAAAGGGAUCUUAUCCAAGAUACUAGAUGCCUUACACAUGUGGAGAACCUCAUUGGAUCAUUUCAAACUAAGCGCUCCACCCUUCUUUGACUACACAUGCUUUAGCUUAUCCUCUUGUAUUGUAAAGCCCUAAUCUCGACACUAUAUAUAUGUAACUCAGUCUCAUUAAUAAGAUUACACAGUUCUGAUUACUCUUAGCCUCCAUGGCUUCUCUCUUAGUCUCUUGAUCUUAUCUUUCAGUCUAAAUCAUCUCUAAACUUCUCUAAACUCUCUUAAACUCUCAGAUUACUCUUUAUACUCUAAAAGUCAUAUGGUAUCAGAGCCAGGUUCCUUGAGAAUCUGAGUUCUUUGCGUAGACUAAAGGCUAAAGGUUCGUUGGAGUCUCUAGCCUCAAGUCUUCUUUGGUUACAUUGUGGUUACAAGAGUGAAGCUUUGCAUGUGUUGUUAGCUCGUGAAGUGUUGGUGCGGUUGAGUCUCAAGUUCAAAAUCUUCUACAAGUAGUUCAAAAACAAGCAGUUGAAGAUGGAUGGAGGGAUAAGCAUGCACAUGAAGGUGGCGGUUACUUUCAAGGGGAGUAACUACUUGGUGUGGUCUCGGAUGGUGAGAACCACAGUGGGAAGUAAGGGUCUUUGGAAGCAUCUCACGGAUGGUGAAGCUCCUCAGCUCAUUACUCAGGGAGAAGACUCAGAAGAGGUCUCAAAUGAAACGGCAGUAGAGAAGUGGCAGCGAGAAGACAUGCUUGUGAUGUCUGUUCUUCAUGCCUCCUUAGAGCCGGCAAUCCUAGAGGCUUACAGCUACUGUGAGUCAGCUAAGGAGCUUUGGGACACCUUGAAGAAGGUGUAUGGGAAUGCUUCAAACCUUCACCGAGUGUUUGAAGUAAAGAAAGCCAUAAACGGCUUGGUACAAGAUGACAUGGAGUUCACCAAGCAUUUGGGGAGGUUCCGGUCCCUAUGGUCAGAACUGGAGAUGCUGAGGCCAAGCACAACCGAUCCAGAGCUGCUUAAUGAAAGGAGGGAGCAGGAUAAGGUCUUUGGGCUCCUACUUACCUUGAACCCGGCUUACACCUCACUCAUUCAGCACAUGUUGAGAGCGGAUAAGCUACCAGACCUUGAGGAGGUGUGCUCUCAAAUUCAGAAGGAGCAGGGGUCUAUUGGAUUGUUUGGAAGCAAGGGAGAGAUGUCACUUGCAAAUCAGGCUGCGCAAACCAACUCUGAUGAAGCUCCGCAAGCAAACAAGGCCGGUUACAACAAGUUUGAAGACAGGAAGUUCAGUGGGAGUUGUGAUCAUUGCAAGAAGCAUGGCCACAAGAAGAGCCAGUGCUGGAUACUUCACCCUCAUCUGAAGCCGGCCAAGUUCUUAAAGGAGAGGGAGGCCAGGGCCAAUGUGAGUGAAGGAUCAAGUGGUGUCAACAGCAGUGGCGCCAGCACCUCAGGGAAAAGCAAGGAUGAAGGAGGAAGGGAGAGUGACGGCAAGUCCUUGGUGGCAUAUGCAGGCAAUCCAAAUCACCGAGGAGGGGAUCAAGACUACAUCAGGAGAUCAGACAUUGACUCCCUCAUCAAAAUGCUUAAGGAAAACGGUAACACUUAUGGUUAUUCCUUUGGUGCAUCAAUGAUAGUUAGGAAUGAUGAUAAUGGUCUUGAAAAACAUGGAAUUGCCAAACCAGAUCAUGCAUAUGCUAGUCUUGCUAGGACUGAUCACUCUCUCAAGACAUCUAGUACACUUUGUCUCACGGCUAAUAGCAUAACUAAACCAUUAGUAGUUGAUUCUGGUGCAUCUCAUCAUAUGAUUAGUGACACUAGUUUGAUUAAAGAUAUUGAACCUACUAAUGGACAUGUGAUGAUUGCAAAUGGAGAUAAAAUUCCUAUUAGAGGAAUAGGAAACUUAAAAUUGUUUAAUAAGCAUACUAAAGCAUUCUACAUGCCAGAAUUCACCUCAAACUUACUCUCAGUAAAGAAAUGUACUAAUGAUUUACAUUGCAAUGUUAUCUUUAGUCCUAAUGAUGUGAAGUUUCAGGAUAUUGAGAGCAGCAAGUUGAUUGGAAAAGGAGUUACUAAAGGGGAUCUUUACAUGCUUGAAGAAUUAGCUCCUGUUUCUGAUUUUAGCUGUUCAUUUACUACAACUACUUCUAGCUUGAAUAAGAAUGCUUUGUGGCAUGCUAGACUAGGACACCCUCAUAGUAGAGCCUUGAAUUUGAUGUUGCCAGGUGUUAAUUUUGAGAAUAAAGACUGUGAAGCUUGCAUUUUAGGCAAACAUUGUAAAACUGUGUUUCAAAGGUCAUCUACUGUUUAUGAAAAAUGCUUUGAUUUGAUUCAUUCUGAUGUAUGGACUGCAUCUUGCUUAUCUAGGGAGAAUCAUAAGUAUUUUGUCACAUUCAUUGAUGAAAAAUCUAAAUACACCUGGUUAACCUUAAUCCCAUCUAAAGAUAGAGUCCUUGAUGCAUUUAAAAACUUUCAAACUUAUGUGACUAACCAUUAUCAUGCUAAGAUAAUUUUGAGAUCAGAUAAUGGAGGAGAGUACACUAGUCAUGCGUUCAAGUAUCAUCUAGCUCAUCAUGGGAUUCUUCAUCAAACAAGCUGUCCCUACACGCCACAACAGAAUGGUGUGGCUGAGAGGAAGAAUCGACAUCUCAUGGAGACUGCUCGGUCAUUAAUGUUUCAAGCAAAUGUUCCCAAGAGGUUUUGGAGUGAUGCUGUAACCACUGCUUGCUACUUAAUCAACCGGACACCUACAAAGGUCCUUGAAGAUCAGGCACCAUUUGAGGUAUUGAACAAACACAAGCCAUCCGUAGAACACUUGAGGGUAUUUGGGUGUUUGUGCUAUGUGUUGAUUCCGGGACAGAUGAGAAGCAAGUUGGAAGCAAGGAGCACAAAGGCUGUAUUCAUAGGCUACUCUACAACACAGAAGGGAUACAAAUGUUAUGAUCCAGAAGGGAGAAGAGUUCUGGUAUCAAGGGAUGUGAAGUUUGUAGAAGAAAGAGGAUACUAUGAGGAAAAGAACCAAGAAGACUUGAAAGAUCUCACCUCAGAUAAAGCUGGAGUGUUAAGGAUUAUCCUAGAGGGGCUAGGAAUCAAGAUGUCCCAGGAUCAGAACUCUGGUCAAAGGGAACAACAUGGAGACUCUCACCAUGAUCGUGAGGGGGGAAAUGAGCCUGAAGUUCAAGAAAGUGGCCAAGAAGGAGCCGGCUUGAAUGAGGAAGGAGUGGAAACAAGUUCAGGCCGAGAUGGAGCCAGCCUGAAUCAGGAACAAAGGGAAAUGAGUUCAGGCUCUCACAAUCAAGGUGAGCAGGAACAAAGAGAAGUAGAAGCAUCAGUUGAGGAUAUAGAAGAAGAAGAAGAACUGGAUGUGCAAGAACAAGCAGUGAGAGUUCAACAACCAGAAUUGAGGAGAAGCACUAGAGUAAGGAAGGAUCCUUCCUCUUGGGUAAACACGAGAGUGUACUACAAUGCCCAAGCAGUGGAGCAUCCUUCUCAAGCUGUGUGCUCCUUUGCUCAAUAUACUAAAGCACAUUGCGCAUUUAUGGUGAAUCUGGAUGAGGGUUAUAUCCCAAGAAGCUAUGAAGAGGCAAUACAAGACAAGGAAUGGAAGGAAUCAGUUGGAGCUGAGGCAGGAGCUAUGAUCAAGAAUGAUACAUGGUACGAGAGUGAGUUACCUAAAGGGAAGAAAGCUGUGACUAGCAGAUGGAUCUUCACAAUCAAGUAUAGGGCUGAUGGUCAGGUUGAAAGGAAGAAGUCAAGACUGGUUGCAAGAGGCUUUACUCAAACAUAUGGAGAAGAUUACAUUGAGACCUUUGCACCAGUGGCUAAACUACAUACAAUCCGGAUUGUAUUAAGCUUGGCUGUGAACCUUGGAUGGGGUUUAUGGCAAAUGGAUGUGAAGAAUGCAUUUCUACAAGGAGAGCUUGAGGAUGAAGUGUAUAUGCAUCCACCUCCAGGCUUGGAACACUUAGUGAAGAAAGGAAAUGUGUUGAGACUGAAGAAAGCCAUCUAUGGGUUGAAGCAAUCACCAAGAGCUUGGUACAACAAGCUGAGCACUACCCUUAAUGGCCGAGGCUUCAAGAAGUCUGAGCUAGAUCACACUCUCUUCACUCUCACUACUCCCUCAGGUAUGAUCGCACUCCUUGUGUAUGUUGAUGAUAUCAUCAUCACGGGAAGUGAUAAGGAAGGUAUCAUAGCAACCAAGGAGUUCCUUAAGUCAAUGUUUGAGAUUAAAGACUUGGGAGAAAUGAAAUACUUUCUUGGAAUUGAGAUAUGUAGAUCCAAGGAAGGCUUGUUCAUGUCCCAAAGGAAGUAUACACUUGAUCUUUUGAAAGGUGCAGGUGCUUAUGGAGGCAAGACAGCAAGGAUGCCUAUGGAGGAUGGCUACAAAGUCCCACGAGAGGGGGAGAUUGAAGACAGCAAACCCUAUCAGGAUCCUAAACUCUAUAGAAAACUAGUUGGCAAAUUGAUUUAUCUUACCAUAACUAGACCUGACAUUUGUUUUGCUGUGAAUCAGGUGAGUUAACACAUGCAAGUGCCUAAGGAGCAUCACUGGCGCAUGGUGGAGAGAAUCCUGAUGUAUCUCAAUGGCUCACCUGAUCAAGGAGUAUGGAUGGGUUGCAAUGGGAGCACUGAAGUGGUUGGAUACUGUGAUGCAGAUUGGGCUGGUGAUAGAGCAGACAGGAGAUCAACCACAGGCUAUUGCACAUUCAUUGGAGGCAACUUGGUUACUUGGAAGAGCAAGAAGCAGAAGGUAGUAUCUUGUUCAAGCGCAGAAGCUGAGUAUAGAGCUAUGCUGAAGCUUACCAAUGAGCUAGUGUGGAUCAAAGGCAUCCUGAAGCAUUUGGAGAUUGAUCAAGCCACGCCAAUGACAAUGCAUUGUGAUAACCAAGCUGCCAUCCACAUUGCCUCCAACUCAGUGUUCCAUGAAAGAACUAAGCACAUUGAGGUUGAUUGUCACAAGGUGAGGCAGAUGAUUGUGCUAGGGAUAAUCUUGCCAUGUUACACUAGAAGUGAAGAUCAGUUGGCGGAUGUGUUCACCAAAGCUGCAAGGCAAAAGACAAUGGAGUCCAUUCACAUCAGGUUGGGCCUCAUUGAUCUUGGUAAGAGAAGGAGCUGAUCCCCUAAGUCAUGAGGUCUUUACUCUUUUUCCCUUAUCAAGGUUUUAUCCCAAUGGGUUUUCCUUGGUAAGGUUUUUAAUGAGGAAGAUCUCAUGGCUGUCCAAUCUUAGACUUUCACAAAGCUAAGAUUGAGGGGGAGUGUUGAGAUGAGCUGAGUAUAAGAAGAAGAGAUGAGGGGUUGAAGGCAUGAAGAGAUAAGGAAGUGUAGAACUAAGGAAUGGAGAGCAUGGGAGAGUUUGGGAGAGUUUGGUACGGAUGGGCCGUACAGGCCGUACUGGCCGUACCGGCCGUACACAUUGUAUCGACCAAGACUCGACCAAAGGUAAAAGAGACUUACCCGGGUAACUCGGUUGAAGGGAAGAAGCUUUACCCAAAGCUUAGGAUGAGUUGUGACCGUUAAGGGAAAGGAAGAAGCUGGGCGUGACAGUCUGGCACAGCUGGAAAGGUAAAAGGGAUCUUAUCCAAGAUACUAGAUGCCUUACACAUGUGGAGAACCUCAUUGGAUCAUUUCAAACUAAGCGCUCCACCCUUCUUUGACUACACAUGCUUUAGCUUAUCCUCUUGUAUUGUAAAGCCCUAAUCUCGACACUAUAUAUAUGUAACUCAGUCUCAUUAAUAAGAUUACACAGUUCUGAUUACUCUUAGCCUCCAUGGCUUCUCUCUUAGUCUCUUGAUCUUAUCUUUCAGUCUAAAUCAUCUCUAAACUUCUCUAAACUCUCUUAAACUCUCAGAUUACUCUUUAUACUCUAAAAGUCAUAAAGCCUAUAUAAGGAUGUGUCUUGGACGUUUUGUAACUCUUAAGAGAGUAUGGGGGAUUUCCCCAUCUCCUUCAUAAAUAUAAAAGUGUGUUCUUGAUCAGAUUCCCUUAAUCUACCCCUUUCUUAGUCUCUAAUCUCCUAAUCUCUCUAAGUCUCUUUGUUUCUGAUUCAAGUUCAUACUAGUUUCAUCAGACCUCUUAUUCAACUAGUUCAAGACCUUAUUCUUUGCCUCUAAUGGCUUCUCAUACACAUAUACAGCCAGAGCUCUCAAAUCUCAUAGAGGAGGGAUAUAAGGUUCUGCGUGAGGGGGAGGUUGAAGAGAAGCAGCUGUUUGAGGAUUCUAAGCUAUACAGGAAGAUGGUUGGCAAGCUGAUCUACUUGACCAUUACUAGGCCAGAUAUAUGCUUUGCGGUGAAUCAAGUGAGUCAACAUAUGCAGGCGCCAAAGGUUCAUCAUUGGAAGAUGGUUGAUAGGAUACUGAGGUAUCUAAGUGGGACUGCUGGACAAGGAGUUUGGAUGGGCUGUAAUGGCAGUACAGAAGUGGUUGGGUAUUGUGAUGCUGAUUGGGCAGGAGAUAGAGUGGACAGGAGAUCAACUACUGGGUAUUGUACAUUCAUUGGAGGGAACUUGGUUACUUGGAAGAGUAAGAAGCAAAAGGUUAUCUCUUGUUCAAGUGCUGAAGCUGAGUAUAGAGCCAUGUUGAAGCUGACAAACGAGUUGGUGUGGAUCAAGGGGAUCUUGAAGCAUCUAGAGAUUGAGCAGAGUACUCCUAUGACAAUGCAUUGUGACAAUCAAGCAGCUAUCCACAUUGCCUCCAACUCAGUGUUUCAUGAGAGAACAAAGCACAUAGAGGUGGAUUGUCAUAAGGUGAGGCAGAUGAUUAUCUUAGGAGUGAUUCUGCCAUGUUAUACAAGAAGUGAAGAUCAGCUUGCAGAUGUGUUUACCAAGGCAGCGAGAUUGAAGACAAUGGAGUCCAUACUAUCCAGGCUUGGACUCAUUGAUCUUACUCCCAGGAGCUGAGCCCCUUAACCAUGGAGUCUCCACUCUUUUUCCCUCAUCAAAGUUUUAUCCCAAUGGGUUUUCUUUGGUGAGGUUUUUAAUGAGGGAGGUCUUCAUGGUUUCCAAGCUUGACUUGUUCCACAUGGUCAAGCUUGAGGGGGAGUGUUGAGAUGAGGUGAUAAAGAGUGGAUACAUUGAUAGAGGAAGAGUAUUGGGGCAGAUAGUAACUUUGGAGUUUUACCACAGUAACUUUAGUUUUACUGUGGUAACUAAGUUAAAGGCUUAGGAAGUUACCUUGGAUCACUUUGGUGAGGAGGAGCACGCCCAAGAGGAAUCAGGAUAAGGGAGGAGCUGUUUGGAUAAGGUCUGGUCAUAGCUGGAAAGGUAAAGCUACUUUACAGCCUGUCCAAGCAUGUGAAGCCUCUCAGCAGCCAGCUAGCCUUGACUUCACAUGCUUUCAGUCCCAUUUCGAAAUCCCCUUUGUAUUAGCCUUAUCUCUUCAUAUAUAACUUGUAUCUGAUACAUUAAAUCAAUUAAUGGAGUUUUGAGUAUUCUCUCUUGUUCUUUAUUCUCUUAGUCUCUCUUAAUCUCCUAAUCUCAUACAAACUACACAAAUCAUCUCUUGAUAUUCAUUCAUCACUCUACAUACACAAAAGUGUAUAUUCUCUACCACCCUAGCACCAAAAGAAUACCCAAAGAUGUUACCAUUCUCCUUGAACAUCUUAAUGAGAGCAUCAAGGUCGGAUCUCCUUAGAUACUCUUGAUCAUUGUUCCCACGGUUGCUUGAUGCUCCAGUGUAGGCUACAAGAGACUUUCCAUCGCCUGCCUCACGCCCAUCUAUCUCCUUUCCUUUGCUUGUACCAGCUCCACUUGUACCAUCCGAGACAUUAGCCUUUGCCUCACGGUCCUUCAUGAACUUAGCCGGCUUGAGGUGAGGAUGGAGUAUCCAGCAUUGGCUCUUCUUGUUGACAUGAAAGCAUGAAUGACAUAGAGGAAGAAGAAAUCAAGUCAAGACAUACAUCCGGAGUGAUCAAAGUGAGCCUGUCCGUACAAGUGUGAACUAACUUGGCGUGCAAGACAAGAGGAGACUUAUAUGUGAUCAAGAAGGAUGUUAUACUUGCCUUAAGAUAUUUAAAAGAUGUCGGCCAAGAGAAGGGAUCCGUUGAAGAAGAAGACAAGGUGGUUCAAAGGAGAGAGAGCCGUUUGGUGCUGUCGCUUUCCACCUUUGCUGUGCGCACCCUGCCCUUGAUCAGUCCUCUUUGUUUAUUCUUUUCUUCUAUGUCAACUUGCCAUUAGUUUAUUCAUUGUUGUAUCUAUUUAAGGUAUGUAAUCAGAACCAAAUGGAUCAAGGAAAUAUACUUCCUCACUUCUCUCUUAUGUUUUCGAAAUCUCUCUCUCUCUCUCUCUCUCUCUCUCUCUCGGAUUCUUAGUAAAACCCUAGCUAUCUCUUCUCUUUGUUCUUGAUAAAUCACACAAGCCACUCUUAUAACUCAUUCAGUUUAUCAUGGUAUCAGAGCAACAAAGCUCUUGAAACCUUUAUCUACUUCCGCAAAACAAAUCUCUGUUUCUUUUCUUGCCGUUCUUUGAAUCCUCAAGAUGGAGAACAACAACAACAACAACAACAACAACCGCAUCAGCAUACCUGUGACUCUGAAGGGGAUUAACUACCUCUUAUGGGCCAGGAUGGUGAAAAUUGCCCUUGGAGGAAAGGGUUUGUGGAGUCAUGUCUCAGCAGAAGCGGCUCCAAAACAAACCAACCAAGGAGAAGAUGGACAGGAGAUGGUGGUAGCUGAUGAAGACAAGUGGGCUCAGGAAGACCUCAUGGUUCUCACAGUGCUCCUCAGCUCUCUUGAACCCGCCAUCUAUGACUUUUAGGAAUAUAAAGAUUAAUCUGAGUUUAGAAUAGGAUUAAGGAAGAGAAUAAGAGAUUUACGAAACUGAUUAGAGACUAAUGAAGAAUCAUGAUGAAAUGAGUAAAGAGAAAGAUUGUUUAGAACUGUCUAAUCUUUAUUAAGAGAUGAGAUUACAUAUAUAUAGGUCCAUACACUUAGGGUUUUCGAAAUCAUAAAGCUAAGUAAGCAUGUAGAGUCAAAGAGGAGCCUAAGCUUUAAUUUGAACCGGCCAAUGAGUGUCUUCACACGUUUGGAGCAUCUUCUUGAUCCAAGACUAGAUGCUCUUCCUUUCCAGCUCUUGCCAGCCUGUCCUAGCUGUCAAGCCGCGUCUCCCUUAUCCUCUCAACGUUCGGAUAAGGUCUUGGCCGAGUGUAACUUAAGCUCAGUACAUGGGAGUUACUUGGAUAGUUACUUGAUCCCUUUUACCUUGUACGGAUGAUCACUUGUACGGCCUUGUACGGAUGAUCAACCCAUUCUUCCUCUUCACCUCUUUGCUCUCUUUAUGUUCUCAACUCCUUUGUGUCUUUACCUCAAAUGUCUCAACUCUGAUUAACACUCCCCCUCAAGCUUAGCUUUGUGAAAGUCUAAGCUUGGACAGCCAUGAGAUCUUCCUCAUUAAAAACCUUACCAAGGAAAACCCAUUGGGAUAAAACCUUGAUAAGGGAAAAAGAGUAAAGACCUCACAGCCAAAGGGGAUCAGCUCCUUCUCUUCCCAAGAUCAAUGAGGCCCAACCUGAUGUGAAUGGACUCCAUUGUCUUCUGUCUUGCAGCCUUGGUGAACACAUCCGCUAACUGAUCUUCACUUCUUGUGUAGCAUGGCAAGAUGACUCCUAAGAUGAUCAUCUGCCUCACCUUGUGACAAUCCACUUCAAUGUGCUUGGUUCUCUCAUGGAACACCGAGUUGGAGGCAAUGUGGAUGGCAGCUUGGUUAUCACAAUGCAUUGUCAUUGGCGUGGCUUGAUCAAUCUCCAAAUGCUUUAAGAUGCCCUUGAUCCACACCAGCUCGUUGGUCAGCUUCAGCAUAGCUCUAUACUCAGCUUCUGCACUUGAGCAAGACACCACCUUCUGCUUCUUACUCUUCCAAGUAACCAAGUUGCCUCCAAUGAAUGUGCAAUAGCCUGUGGUUGAUCUCCUGUCUGCUCUAUCACCAGCCCAAUCCGCAUCACAAUAUCCAACCACUUCAGUACUCCCAUUGCAACCCAUCCAUACUCCUUGAUCAGGUGAGCCGUUGAGAUACAUCAAGAUCCUCUCCACCAUGCGCCAAUGAUGUUCCUUAGGCACUUGCAUGUGUUGACUCACCUGAUUCACAGCAAAGCAAAUGUCAGGCCUAGUUAUGGUAAGGUAAAUCAAUUUGCCAACUAGCUUUCUAUAGAGUUUAGGAUCCUGAUAAGGUUUGCUGUCUUCAAUCUCCCCCUCUCGUGGGACUUUGUAGCCAUCCUCCAUAGGCAUCCUUGCUGUCUUGCCUCCAUAAGCACCUGCACCUUUCAAAAGAUCAAGUGUAUACUUCCUUUGGGACAUGAACAAACCUUCCUUGGAUCUACAUAUCUCAAUUCCAAGAAAGUAUUUCAUUUCUCCCAAGUCUUUAAUCUCAAACAUGGAUUUAAGGAACUCCUUGGUUGCUAUGAUACCUUCCUUAUCACUUCCUGUGAUAAUGAUAUCAUCAACAUACACAAGGAGUGCAAUCAUACCUGAGGAAGUAGUGAGAGUGAAGAGGGUGUGGUCUAGUUCAGACUUCUUGAAGCCUCGUCCAUUCAGAGUAGUACUCAGCUUGUUGUACCAAGCUCUUGGUGAUUGCUUCAGUCCAUAGAUAGCUUUCUUCAGUCUCAACACAUUCCCUUUCUUCACUAAGUGUUCCAAGCCUGGAGGUGGAUGCAUAUACACUUCAUCCUCCAGCUCUCCUUGUAGAAAUGCAUUCUUCACAUCCAUUUGCCAUAAGCCCCAUCCAAGAUUCACAGCCAAGCUUAAUACAAUCCGGAUUGUGUGCAGUUUAGCUACUGGUGCAAAGGUCUCAAUGUAAUCCUCUCCAUAAGUUUGAGUGAAACCUCUUGCAACCAGUCUUGACUUCUUCCUCUCAAUUGUACCAUCAGCCUUAUACUUGAUUGUGAAGAUCCAUCUACUAGUCACAGCCUUCUUCCCUUUUGGUAACUCACUCUCAUACCAUGUAUCAUUCUUGAUCAUAGCUCCUGCCUCAGCUCCAACUGACUCCUUCCAUUCUUUAUCCAUGAUUGCUUCUUCAUAGCUUCUUGGGAUGUAGUUCUCAUCCAAGUUAACCAUGAAGGCACAAUGUUCUUCAGGGUAUUGAGCAAAGGAACACACAACUUGAGAAGGAUGCUCCACAGCUUGGGCAUUGUAGUACACUCGCGUGUUUACCCAAGAGGAAGGAUCCUUUCUCAGCCUUGUGCUCCUCCUCAAUACAGGUUGUUCUUGCUCUUGAACCGGCUCAGCUUGUGUAUGCGGUUCUUGUGCUUCACUCUGAUGUUCUUCCUCUCCUUGGUCUUGCUCACCUUGAUGAUGAGAACCUGAGUUGAACUCUCCUUCCUCACUCAAGCCGACUCCUUCUUGGCCAUUUUCUUGAGUUUCAGGUUCACUUCCCCCCUCAUGAUCAAGGUGAGGUGUUUGAGCAGCUCCACUUGGUGCAGUUGAGCUCUCUUCUUGUCUUCCACUUCUUGUGGAUUGAUCCUGGUUCAUCUUGAUACCGAGACCUUCCAAAAUGAUUCUUAAGACUCCAGCCUUAUCUGAUGUGAGAUCCUUCAAAUCUUCUUGAUUCUUCUCCUCAUAGUAUCCUCUUUCUUCAAUGAACUUCACAUCUCUAGAUACAAGUACCCUUCUAGCUUCUGGAUCAUAACACUUAUAUCCUUUUUGAGUUGUUGAGUAGCCAAUGAACAUUGCCUUUCUGCUCCUUGCUUCUAGCUUGUUCCUCAACUCUCCUGGUACUAGAACAUAGCAUAAGCAUCCAAACACUCUCAUGUAUUCCAAGGAUGGCUUGCGCUUGUUCAGAACUUCAAAUGGUGCUUGAUCCUUCAACACCUUUGUAGGCAUCCUGUUGAUUAGGUAGCACGCAGUGGAUACAGCAUCACUCCAGAAUCUCUUAGGUACAUUAGCUUGGAACAUCAGUGACCGAGCCACUUCCAUCAAGUGCCUGUUCUUUCUCUCAGCUACACCAUUCUGUUGUGGUGUGUAGGGACAGCUUGUUUGAUGAAGGAUUCCAUGGUGAUCUAGAUGACUCUUGAACGCAUAGCUUGUGUACUCUCCUCCAUUAUCUGAUCUCAAAAUUUUAAUCCUAGCAUGAUAAUGGUUAGUCACAUAAGCUUGAAAGUUCUUGAAUGCAUCUAUCACCCUAUCUUUUGAUGGAAUGAGUGUUAACCAGGUGUAUUUAGAUUUUUCAUCAAUGAAUGUGACAAAAUACUUAUGAUUAUCUCUAGAAAAACUAGGUGCAGUCCACACAUCAGUAUGAAUCAAAUCAAAGCAAUUUUCAUAAACAGUGGAUGUUCUUGGAAACACAUUCUUACAAUGCUUGCCUAAAAUGCAAGCUUCACACUUAUUAUUUUCAAAAACCACACCUGGUAACAUCAAGUUUAAAGCCCUCUCAUGGGGAUGACCUAGUCUAGCAUGCCACAAUGCAUUUUUAUUCAAACUAGAAGCAGAAGUAAAUGAGCAGUUAUAAUUGGAAACAGGAUCAAGCUUCUCAAGCAUGUAUAAGUCUCCCUUUGUAACUCCUUUUCCAAUCAAUUGGCUGCUCUCAAUAUCCUGAAACUUCACAUCAUUAGGACUGAAUAUAACAUUGCAAUUCAAAUCAGUAGUGCAUUUUUAACUGAAAGUAGGUUUGAUGUGAAUUCCGGAAUGUAAAAAGCUCUAGUGUUCUUAUCAAAUAGCUUUAAGUUUCCUAUUCCCUUAAUAGGUAUUUUAUCCCCAUUUGCAAUCAUCACACAUCCAUUAGUAGGUUCUAUAUCUUUAAUCAGUUGGUGUCACUAAUCAUAUGAUGAGAUGCACCUGAAUCUAUAAUCAAUGGUUUGGAUGUAUUGCUAGCACUAUGGCAGAUGUUAAUCUGUGAUCUAUAUGCAUUCACCCUAGCAUUUCUAUCAAUGCAAUGCUCAAUUCCAGUCUUACUAUCAAUCCUAGCAAUCUCAGCCACAUUAGUAAUAGUUUUAUAGGAUUUAUGUGAGAGUUUAAGGAAGAUUUGUGAAGAGAUUAGAGAAGAACUAGGUUGAACCGUGAGAGAGAGAGAGAGAUUGACAAAGAGAAUAAUAGAGAACUCUUUUCCCUUGAAUGAUUUGUUUAUGGGAACAACCCAUUUAUAGAAUUCAUACAGCAAGAUGUCGACAUUAAGAAAACAAUAAACAAAGAAGUUAAGACAGAGGAGAGAUGGGCAAAGUGGUCCUGGAUAGUGACAGGUCCUAACGGGUGGGAAGACUUUGAAUCCUUAACCAGACCCGUGACCUGCACUCUCAACGGUUCCCCACUUCCCUUAGGCGAUUCCAAACAUUCUUCUUGCCUUCUUCUCUUCUACAUCAGUCACUCUUAUGUCUUGCUCUCCAAGUUAGGGUUGUCUUGUACGGACAGACUUGUCUAGCAAGGUAAGUUGAGUGAUUGCUUGAUCCGGAUGUAAUUGUUCCCUCUUGCUUCUUACUUCAUUCUCCUCUCUUUAUUGCUUCAUGUCAACACUCCCCCUCAAGCUUGACAGUGGUGAUUGUCAAGCUUGGAAACCAUGAAGCAUUCCCUCAUUAAAACCUUUACUUGGAAAAACCACUUGGGAUAAAAACCAAGCAAAGGAAAAAGAGUAGAAUACUCCAUGGUGAGGGGAUUAUUGACAUGGGAGGUUUAUGAGUCCAAGUCUUGGAAGAAUGGACUCACAAACUUUGCUACUGGCCGCCUUGGUGAAGAUGUCAGCCAGCUGAUCCUCACUUCUUGUAUAACAUGGGAGAAUCACUUGCUGCUCUACUGCUUGUCUUACCUUGUGGCAGUCCACUUCUAUGUGUUUUGUCCUCUCAUGGAAGACUGAGUUGGAUGCAAUGUGUAUUGCGGCUUGGUUGUCACAAUGCAUGGUCAUGGGAGUUUUGAUCUCAAUUCCCAAGUCGCCUAGAAGCCCUUUUAUCCAGAUAAGCUCACUGGUUAGCUUCCUCAUUGAUCUGUACUCUGCUUCUGCACUAGAGCAAGACACUACCUUCUGUUUCUUGCUCUUCCAAGUGACCAGAUUUCCUCCAAUGAAUGUACAAUAGCCGGUGGUUGAUCUUCUGUCUAUUCUGUCCCCAGCCCAAUCUGCAUCACAGUAUCCUAUCACCUCAGUGUUCUUGUUGCAAGCCAUCCAUACACCCUGACCUGGUGCCUCUCUCAAGUAUCUUAGUAUCCUCUCCACCAUGUUCCAGUGAUGAACCUUGGGAGUUUGCAUAUGUUGGCUUACUUGAUUAACUGCAAAGCACACAUCUGGCCGAGUGAUGGUUAGAUAGAUCAGCUUCCCAACCAUCCGUCUAUAUUGUUUGACAUCUUCAAAUGGAGUAUCUUCAUACUCCCCCUCUCGCAAUACCUUGUAACCUUCUUCAAGUGGUGUCUUGGCUUGUCUUCCUCCAAGAUCUCCUGCCUCCUUUAAGAUGUCCAGGGUAUACUUUCUUUGGGACAUGAACAAUCCUUCCUUUGAUCUGCACAUCUCAAUGCCGAGGAAGUACUUCAGUUCUCCUAGGUCUUUGAUAUCAAAUGCGGCUUUAAGAAAGGUCUUGGUUGAACUGAUCCCCUCCUUGUCACAACCAGUGAUGAUGAUAUCAUCCACAUAGACUAGAAUCACAACAAUCCCUUGCUUGCUGGUGAGAGUGAAGAGUGUGUGAUCCGCUUGAGACUUCACAAAGCCUCUCCCAUUCAGUGUAGUGCUCAGCUUGUGAUACCAAGCUCUUGGUGAUUGUUUCAAACCAUAUAUGGCUUUUCUGAGUCUGAGUACAUUCCCUGGUUUCACCAUCUCUUCCAUUCCCGGCGGUGGUCUCAUAUAUACCUCAUCUUCUAGUUCACCUUGCAAGAAGGCAUUCUUCACAUCCAUUUGCCAAAGAUCCCACUCUUGAUUUACUGCCAAUGAAAGGAUAAUCCGGAUUGUGUGAAGCUUGGCCACUGGUGCAAAGGUGUCUAGAUAGUCUUCUCCAUAAACUUGUGUGUAUCCUCUUGCUACCAAUCUGGUCUUUUUUCUUUCUGGCUUUCCAUUUGCAAGAUACUUGAUAGUGUGUAUGAGUCUGCUGGUCACGGCUUUCUUUCCUUUUGGAAGCUCUGUCUCAUACCAGGUGUUGUUCCUCUCCAUGGCUCCCAUUUCAUCAUUCACUGAUUCCCUCCAUUCAUCAUCUUCCAUAGCUUCUGCAUAUGUUCUUGGUAUCCAUUCCUGAUCCAAUGAGCCCACAAAGGCUUGAUGUUCUUCUGGAUAGUGAGCUAGGGAGCACACGCCACUGGGUGGGUGAGCUACUGCCUCUGCAUUGAAGUAGACUCUGGUGUUGUUCCAGUUUGAAGCCGGCUUCUUGAUCCUAGUACUUCUCCUAAGUACUGGCUGAUCAUUUUCAUUCUGAGUGCCUUCUCCACCUUCCAAGUUCUGAUUCUGAUCCUCCACUUCCUCCUCUUGGUCAUGGUGCUCUUCUUGAUCAUGAACUUCCUCAGAUACAGGUGGUUCACCCUGAUUUCCCCCCUCAGGAUCAAGGGGAGCAGCUUCUUGGAUCUCAACUUCAUCUGUAGUUGUCUCGGUUUGCUCUUCAGACCGGCUUGAUCCUCCCACAUUAUCUGAUCCUGCUUGUCCCGGCUCUUCCAUAGGUAAGCUGACCCCAAGUCUCCUCAUGACUUGUCUGAGAUUGGCUGCUCUAUCUGAUGCGGAUUGAGACAAGUUCUCCAGCUCAUUCCAAUCCUUGUUGUUGUAGUACCCUCUGGUUUCUACAAACUUCACAUCUCUAGAUACCAAGACUCUCCUAGUCUCUGGUUCAUAGCACUUAUAGCCCUUCUGGUUUGGUGAAUACCCAAUGAACAUAGCUCUUGUGCUCUUAGCCUCCAGUUUGUUCCUCAGUUCUCCUGGUUUCAAAACAAAACAAAGGCACCCAAACACACGCAUAUGAUCAAUAGAUGGUUUAGCUUUGUUCAAUACCUCAAAUGGAGAGCAGUCUUGUAGAACUCUGGUAGGAAUGCGGUUGAUCAGGUAGCAUGCAGUUAGGACCGCAUCACCCCAAAAGCUCUUUGGGACACUAGUAUGGAACAUCAUGCUCCUAGUGACCUCCAUGAGAUGCCUGUUCUUCCUCUCGGCCACACCAUUUUGUUGGGGAGUGUAUGGACAGCUGGUUUGAUGAAUCACACCUUGUUUGGCUAGAUGAGCUUUGAAUGCAUUGCUGGUGUACUCUCCUCCAUUAUCUGAUCUCAAAAUCUUAACUUUGGCAUUAUAAUGGUUAGAGACAUAUGUUUCAAAGUUUAUAAAUGCAUCUAAGACCCUAUCCUUUGAUUGUAAGAGAGUGAUCCAUGUGUACUUGGAUUUCUCAUCAAUAAAGGUCACAAAAUACUUGUGAUGUUCUCUAGAAAUACAUGGAGCUGUCCAUACAUCCGAGUGGAUUAAAUCAAAGCAGUGUUCAUAGAUUGUACUAGACUUGGGAAAUACAGUUUUGCAAUGUUUUCCUAAGAUACAAGCUUCACAAUCUUGCUGGAAUGAAAUACUAGGCAACAUGAUGUUCAAGGCACGAGAAUGAGGAUGUCCUAAUCUAGCAUGCCACAUUACAUCUUUAGGGAAAUUAAAACUUGAAUUGAAAGCAACAGAUAGAUCGGAUGCAAGCUUAGUGUCUUCUAGCAAGUACAGGUUUCCCUUGCUCACACCUUUGCCAAGCAACCUACAUGAGUCAAUAUCCUGAAAGUAGACAUCAUCAGGCGUAAAUAUAACAUUGCAAUUCAAGUCAUUGGUCACCCUUUUCACAGAUAAUAGAUUAGAAGUGAAACUAGGCAUGUAGAAAGCUUUGGAUUCUUUCUCAAAUAAUUUAAGUUCCCCUAUGCCUUUAAUUGGAACCUUGUUACCAUCAGCUAUCAUAACAUUUCCUACUGCAGGAGUGAUAUUUUUAAUCAAAUUUAAAUCACUAAUCAUGUGAUGAGAGGCUCCUGAGUCUAUGACUAAGGGUUUAACUCUAUCAGAUUCAUGAGCAACUUGAAACGCCGUGAAUAAACUCCUAGGCAAUUGAUAUGAUGCACUAAGGGAGGAACCAAGAGUUUUACCAGACUCCUUGAGAGCUUUGAUGAGUGCCUCAAUGUCAGAUUUCUUGAUGGACUCAUCCUGGUUUCCCUUGCCCUCAUGAGUGCGGUAGGCCGUGGAAGCUUCUCCUACAUCACCUGAGUAGUUUGCCCGACCAUCAGUCUUGAACUUAGCCGGUUUGAGGUGUGGGUGAAGUAUCCAGCACUUGUCCUUGCCGUGACCCUUCCUCUUGCAAUGAUCACACACCCACACUUUCUUUUCCUCCGGCUUGUAGUACCCUUUGUUGGCUACUCCGGCAGGUUUGCUCUCGGCUCCUUCAGCUUGAUUGGCCAUCACUAGCUCUCCCUUUCUCUUAAAGAGACCCACUGAGCCGUGCUCCUUCUGAAUCUCAGCACACACUUCAUCUAGAGAUGGAAGCUCCUUGUUCCUCAGUAUGUGCCUAAUAAGGUCAUCAUACCCUGGGUUGAGAGUGAGCAGCAAGGCAAAGACCUUAUCUUGCUCCCUUCUUUCAUGUAGAACAUCCGGAUCAACUGUUGCGGGUCUGAGCAUCUCUAGCUCAGCCCAUAGAGACCGGAACUUCCCAAAAUGAGCAUCAAAGUCUGUGUCCUCUUGACUUAGAGAAUUGAUUGCUCCUUUUACUUCAUACACCUUGCUGAUGUUGGAUUUGUUGGCAUACACCUUCUUGAGAGUAUCCCACAGCUCCUUGGAAGUUUCACAGAAUGCAUAAGCCUCUUGGAGAGAAGGGGCGAGGCUAUUCUGGAUGAUAGACAACACCAUGAGGUCCUCCUGACCUUUCUUCUUAUCCCCAGCAUCCGCAACCACCACUUCUUUGCCAUCCUCUCCUAGGACAGUCUUCUUGGUGGGGUGGCCUUCUUCAACAAUCUCCCAAAGACCUCUGCCUCCGAGAGCUGUUUUGGCAAGUCUUGCCCAUGUCAGGUAGUUAGGACCCUUGAGAGUAACUGGUAUCAUUACCAUCUUUGGGUUCUCGGAGGUAUCCAUCAAGAGAGAAAGAGAAACGAAAGUUUUGGAUGAACUUUGCUACUUUUGGCAAAUUCUGGAAAUGAGAUUGAAGAACACCUCAAGAACAGGAUGAACUUUGCCAAAAAUAGAAAUAAAACACAGAGAGUUCGCGGAAGAAAAAGAGAUUUAGGUCUCAAGAGCACAGCUGCUCUGAUACCAUAAUAGUUUUAUAGGAUUUAUGUGAGAGUUUAAGGAAGAUUUGUGAAGAGAUUAGAGAAGAACUAGGUUGAACCGUGAGAGAGAGAGAGAGAUUGACAAAGAGAAUAAUAGAGAACUCUUUUCCCUUGAAUGAUUUGUUUAUGGGAACAACCCAUUUAUAGAAUUCAUACAGCAAGAUGUCGACAUUAAGAAAACAAUAAACAAAGAAGUUAAGACAGAGGAGAGAUGGGCAAAGUGGUCCUGGAUAGUGACAGGUCCUAACGGGUGGGAAGACUUUGAAUCCUUAACCAGACCCGUGACCUGCACUCUCAACGGUUCCCCACUUCCCUUAGGCGAUUCCAAACAUUCUUCUUGCCUUCUUCUCUUCUACAUCAGUCACUCUUAUGUCUUGCUCUCCAAGGUAGGGUUGUCUUGUACGGACAGACUUGUCUAGCAAGGUAAGUUGAGUGAUUGCUUGAUCCGGAUGUAAUUGUUCCCCUCUUGCUUCUUACUUCAUUCUCCUCUCUUUAUUGCUUCAUGUCAACAAUUAGUCAUUUCUAUAGUUCUAGCAAUCAUAGAAGCACCAAAUGAAUACCCAUGAAUGUUACCAUUAUCCUUGAGCAUUUUGAUGAGUGCAUCCAUCUCGGAUCUCCUGAUGAAGUCUUGAUCAUUGCCUCGGGGGUUGAUAGCUCCAGUGUAGGUCACCAAAGCCUUUCCAUCUCCUUCACGGUUCUCCACUUCAGCUCCACGGUUGGAUGGCCCUGCUCCGCUUGAUCCUUCAGUCAUGUGAGCUUUUGCCUCUCUCUCCUUCAUGAACUUAGCCGGCUUCAAGUGGGGAUGGAGUAUCCAGCACUGACUCUUCUUGUGUCCAUGCUUCUUGCAGUGAUCACAAUUCCCAUUGAACUUCCUAUCCUCAUACUUGUUGUAACCAGCUUUGUUAGCUUGUGGAGGCUCUUCCCGGUCAGGUUGCACAGCGUUUGCAAGAGAUAAGUCUCCCUUGCCUCCAAACAAACCCAUUGAGCCCUGCUCCUUCUGUAUCUUAGCACACACCUCUUCAAGGUCAGGCAGCUUCUCAGACCAUAGCAUGUGCUGGAUAAGACCACUGUAGCUUGCAUUCAACGUGAGCAGCAACCCAAAGACCUUGUCCUGCUCACGUCUCUCAUUUAGAAGCUCUGGAUCAACCGUGCUUGGCCUCAGCAUCUCCAACUCAGACCAAAGAGACCUGAACCUCCCCAAGUGCUUAGUGAACUCCGUGUCAUCUUGAGUUAACCCAUUGAUUGCCUUCUUGACUUCAAACACUCGGUUCAGGUUAGAAGUGUUUCCAUACACUUUCUGUAGAGUAUCCCACAGCUCCUUGGCUGUCUCACAGUAGCUAUAAGCAUCUAGUAUAGCCGGCUCCAAAGAGGCAUGUAGGACAGACAUCACCAUCAUGUCUUCUUGUUGCCACUUCUCUACAACGCUCUCCUCGGGACUCUCCGUUUCACCCCCCUGAGUAAUCACCUUUGGAGCCUCACCAGAUGUGAUAUGCUUCCACAAACCCUUGCUUCCCACCGCAGUUUUCACCAUCCUAGACCAGACUAGGUAGUUGGUUCCUUUGAAUGUCACCGCGACCUUCAUCUUCAUGCCACUCUCCAUCUUGAACAGCUUGACGUUUAAAACUUGAACAACCGGUUAGAUCUUGAACUGAGAACCCACGCUGCUCUCUAGAACACAGAUUCACUCUUGAGUCUUCAAAUGAACCUCCCACGGACCACCAAGACACACACAAAACACCUUGAGCUUUUGAACUCUCAAGAAACUCUCAAACACACUCACUUGUUCUCUUAAAGUUUCAAACUUGAAUCCUUAAGAGAAUCACUCACGAACUCAGAUUGUAAUCAACCUGGCUCUGAUACCAUAUGACUUUUAGGAAUAUAAAGAUUAAUCUGAGUUUAGAAUAGGAUUAAGGAAGAGAAUAAGAGAUUUACGAAACUGAUUAGAGACUAAUGAAGAAUCAUGAUGAAAUGAGUAAAGAGAAAGAUUGUUUAGAACUGUCUAAUCUUUAUUAAGAGAUGAGAUUACAUAUAUAUAGGUCCAUACACUUAGGGUUUUCGAAAUCAUAAAGCUAAGUAAGCAUGUAGAGUCAAAGAGGAGCCUAAGCUUUAAUUUGAACCGGCCAAUGAGUGUCUUCACACGUUUGGAGCAUCUUCUUGAUCCAAGACUAGAUGCUCUUCCUUUCCAGCUCUUGCCAGCCUGUCCUAGCUGUCAAGCCGCGUCUCCCUUAUCCUCUCAACGUUCGGAUAAGGUCUUGGCCGAGUGUAACUUAAGCUCAGUACAUGGGAGUUACUUGGAUAGUUACUUGAUCCCUUUUACCUUGUACGGAUGAUCACUUGUACGGCCUUGUACGGAUGAUCAACCCAUUCUUCCUCUUCACCUCUUUGCUCUCUUUAUGUUCUCAACUCCUUUGUGUCUUUACCUCAAAUGUCUCAACUCUGAUUAACACCAUCAUGGAGUCUUACUUUUACUGUGAGACUACCAAACAGCUGUGGGAUACACUUUACAAAGUGUAUGGAAAUGUCUCCAACCUCACAAGAGUCUUUGAAGUGAAGAGAGCCAUCAAUGCGCUCAACCAAGGAGAUGUGGAGUUUCAACCACACUUUGGCAAGUUUAGGUCUCUUUGGGCAGAGAUGGAACUGCUAAGACCACACACCACUGACCAUGCCACGCUUCUAACCAGGCGUGAGGAGGACAGAGUGUUUGGACUGCUGCUCACUCUUAACCCAUCUUAUGGGAGCUUGAUCAAGCACAUCCUAAGAGCUGACAAGCUACCUGACCUGGAUGAAGUAUGUGCUCAAAUCCAGAAGGAAGAAGGCUCAGUGGGCUUGUUUGGUGGCAAGGGAUGAUAGUUUUAGAAGAUUAAGGAGAGAUUAAGAGAGAAGAGUAAGAGAUGGAGAGAGUUUCCGUGAGAGUGUGACAAAGAGAAUAGAAGGAGAAUAAGUUUCCUUACUUGAUUUGUUACACAUGACAGGGUAUUUAAAGACAUACAAGAAUGCAUAAACAAUGAGAAGAUAGUACAAGGGAAAGAAUAAACAAAGAGGAGGCAGAUCCGCGGAUGGCUCGUUCAGCAAGAGGGAUAGUGACAGCUCCCAACGGUCAGCUCCCUCUCUCUUCUCUUAGACACACCCGUGACUCCUCCACUCACUUCUCUUCAACGGAUACAUGUCGACAUUCCCACUCACUAGGAGAUCUUUUAAUCACUUGACCGAGUUGGUUAACUCAUGACUUGCUUCCUUUCCUUGCAAGUCACUCUUAGGUUGUACGGACAGCCUUGUUCUCCAAGUUCCUAUCUUCUUGCUUUAUUCUUCAUGUCAACACUCCCCCUCAAGCUUGACAGUAGUGAGUGUCAAGCUUGGAAAUCCAUGAAGCAUUCCCUCAUUAAAACCUUUACUUGGAAAAACCACUUGGGAUAAAAACCAAGCAAAGGAAAAAGAGUAGAAUACUCCAUGGUGAGGGGAUCAUUGACAUGGAAGGUUUAUGAGUCCAAGUCUUGGAAGAAUGGACUCACAAACUUUGCUGCUGGCUGCCUUGGUGAAGAUGUCAGCCAGCUGAUCCUCACUUCUUGUAUAGCAUGGGAGGAUCACUUGCUGUUCUACUGCUUGUCUCACCUUGUGACAGUCCACUUCUAUGUGUUUUGUCCUCUCAUGGAAGACUGAGUUGGAUGCAAUGUGUAUUGCAGCUUGAUUGUCACAAUGCAUGGUCAUGGGAGUGGUGAUCUCAAUUCCCAAGUCGCCUAGAAGCCCCUUUAUCCAGAUAAGCUCACUGGUUAGCUUCCUCAUUGAUCUGUACUCUGCUUCUGCACUUGAGCAAGACACCACCUUCUGCUUCUUGCUCUUCCAAGUGACCAGAUUCCCUCCAAUGAAUGUACAAUAGCCGGUGGUUGACCUUCUGUCUACUCUGUCCCCAGCCCAAUCUGCAUCACAGUAUCCUAUCACCUCAGUGUUCUUGUUGCAAGCCAUCCAUACACCCUGACCUGGCGCCUCUCUCAAGUAUCUUAGGAUCCUCUCCACCAUGUUCCAGUGAUGAACCUUGGGAGUUUGCAUGUGCUGGCUUACUUGAUUAACUGCAAAGCACACAUCUGGCCGAGUGAUGGUUAGAUAGAUCAGCUUCCCAACCAUCCUUCUAUACUGCUUGACGUCUUCAAAUGGAGUAUCUUCAUACUCCCCCUCUCGCAAUACCUUGUAACCUUCUUCAAGUGGUGUCUUGGCUUGUCUUCCUCCAAGAUCUCCUGCCUCCUUUAAGAUGUCCAGGGUAUACUUUCUUUGGGACAUGAACAAUCCUUCCUUUGAUCUGCACAUCUCAAUGCCGAGGAAGUACUUCAGUUCUCCUAGGUCUUUGAUAUCAAAUGCGGCUUUAAGAAAGGUCUUGGUUGAACUGAUCCCCUCCUUGUCACAACCAGUGAUGAUGAUAUCAUCCACAUAGACUAGAAUCACAACAAUCCCUUGCUUGCUGGUGAGAGUGAAGAGUGUGUGAUCCGCUUGAGACUUCACAAAGCCUCUCCCAUUCAGUGUAGUGCUCAGCUUGUGAUACCAAGCUCUUGGUGAUUGCUUCAAACCAUAUAUGGCUUUUCUGAGUCUGAGUACAUUCCCUGGUUUCACCAUCUCUUCCAUUCCCGGCGGUGGUCUCAUAUAUACCUCAUCUUCUAGUUCACCUUGCAAGAAGGCAUUCUUCACAUCCAUUUGCCAAAGAUCCCACUCUUGAUUUACUGCCAAUGAAAGGAUAAUCCGGAUUGUGUGGAGCUUGGCCACUGGUGCAAAGGUGUCUAGAUAGUCUUCUCCAUAAACUUGUGUGUAUCCUCUUGCUACCAAUCUGGUCUUCUUUCUUUCUGGCUUCCCAUUUGCAAGAUACUUGAUGGUGUGUAUGAGUCUGCUGGUCACGGCUUUCUUUCCUUUUGGAAGCUCUGUCUCAUACCAGGUGUUGUUCCUCUCCAUGGCUCCCAUUUCAUCAUUCACUGAUUCCCUCCAUUCAUCAUCUUCCAUAGCUUCUGCAUAUGUUCUUGGUAUCCAUUCCUGAUCCAAUGAACCCACAAAGGCUUGAUGUUCUUCUGGAUAGUGAGCUAGGGAGCACACGCCACUGGGUGGGUGAGCUACUGCCUCUGCAUUGAAGUAGACUCUGGUGUUGUUCCAGUUUGAAGCCGGCUUCUUGAUCCUAGUACUUCUCCUAAGUACUGGCUGAUCAUUUUCAUUCUGAGUGCCUUCUCCACCUUCCAAGUUCUGAUUCUGAUCCUCUACUUCCUCCUCUUGGUCAUGGUGCUCUUCUUGAUCAUGAACUUCCUCAGAUACAGGUGGUUCACCCUGAUUUCCCCCCUCAGGAUCAAGAGGAGCAGCUUCUUGGAUCUCAACUUCAUCUGUAGUUGUCUCGGUUUGCUCUUCAGACCGGCUUGAUCCUCCCACAUUAUCUGAUCCUGCUUGUCCCGGCUCUUCCAUAGGUAAGCUGACCCCAAGUCUCCUCAUGACUUGUCUGAGAUUGGCUGCUCUAUCUGAUGCGGAUUGAGACAAGUUCUCCAGCUCAUUCCAAUCCUUGUUGUUGUAGUACCCUCUGGUUUCUACAAACUUCACAUCUCUAGAUACCAAGACUCUCCUAGUCUCUGGUUCAUAGCACUUAUAGCCCUUCUGGUUUGGUGAAUACCCAAUGAACAUAGCUCUUGUGCUCUUAGCCUCCAGUUUGUUCCUCAGUUCUCCUGGUUUCAAAACAAAACACAGGCACCCAAACACACGCAUAUGAUCAAUAGAUGGUUUAGCUUUGUUCAAUACCUCAAAUGGAGAGUAGUCUUUUAGAACUCUGGUAGGAAUGCGGUUGAUCAGGUAGCAUGCAGUUAGGACCGCAUCACCCCAAAAACUCUUUGGGACACUAGUAUGGAACAUCAUGCUCCUAGUGACCUCCAUGAGAUGCCUGUUCUUCCUCUCGGCCACACCAUUUUGUUGGGGAGUGUAUGGACAGCUGGUUUGAUGGAUCACACCUCGUUUGGCUAGAUGGGCUUUGAAUGCAUUGCUGGUGUACUCUCCUCCAUUAUCUGAUCUCAAAAUCUUAACUUUGGCAUUAUAAUGGUUAGAGACAUAUGUUUCAAAGUUUAUAAAUGCAUCUAAGACCCUAUCCUUUGAUUGUAAGAGAGUGAUCCAUGUGUACUUGGAUUUCUCAUCAAUAAAGGUCACAAAAUACUUGUGAUGUUCUCUAGAAAGACAUGGAGCUGUCCAUACAUCCGAGUGAAUUAAAUCAAAGCAGUGUUCAUAGAUUGUACUAGACUUGGGAAAUACAGUUUUGCAAUGUUUUCCUAAGAUACAAGCUUCACAAUCUUGUUGGAAUGAAAUACUAGGCAACAUGAUGUUCAAGGCACGAGAAUGAGGAUGUCCUAAUCUAGCAUGCCACAUUACAUCUUUAGGGAAAUUAAAACUUGAAUUGAAAGCAACAGAUAGAUCGGAGGCAAGCUUAGUGUCUUCUAGCAAGUACAGGUUUCCCUUGCUCACACCUUUGCCAAGCAACCUACAUGAGUCAAUAUCCUGAAAGUAGACAUCAUCAGGCGUAAAUAUAACAUUGCAAUUCAAGUCAUUGGUCACCCUUUUCACAGAUAAUAGAUUAGAAGUGAAACUAGGCAUGUAGAAGGCUUUGGAUUCUUUCUCAAAUAAUUUAAGUUCCCCUAUGCCUUUAAUUGGAACCUUGUUACCAUCAGCUAUCAUAACAUUUCCUACUGCAGGAGUGAUAUUUUUAAUCAAGUUUAAAUCACUAAUCAUGUGAUGAGAGGCUCCUGAGUCUAUGACUAAGGGUUUAACUCUAUCAGAUUCAUGAGCAACUUGAAAUGCCGUGAAUAAACUCCUAGGCAAUUGAUAUGAUGCACUAAGAGAGGAACCAAGAGUUUUACCAGACUCCUUGAGAGCUUUGAUGAGUGCCUCAAUGUCAGAUUUCUUGAUGGGCUCAUCCUGGUUUCCCUUGCCCUCAUGAGUGCGGUAGGCCGUGGAAGCUUCUCCUACAUCACCUGAGUAGUUUGCUCGACCAUCAGUCUUGAACUUAGCCGGUUUGAGGUGUGGGUGAAGUAUCCAGCACUUGUCCUUGCCGUGACCCUUCCUCUUGCAAUGAUCACACACCCACACCUUCUUUUCCUCCGGCUUGUAGUACCCUUUGUUGGCUACUCCGGCAGGUUUGCUCUCGGCUCCUUCAGCUUGAUUGGCCAUCACUAGCUCCCCCUUUCUCUUAAAGAGACCCACUGAGCCGUGCUCCUUCUGAAUCUCAGCACACACUUCAUCUAGAGAUGGAAGCUCCUUGUUCCUCAGUAUGUGCCUAAUAAGGUCAUCAUACCCUGGGUUGAGAGUGAGCAGCAAGGCAAAGACCUUAUCUUGCUCCCUUCUUUCAUGUAGAACAUCCGGAUCAAUUGUUGCGGGUCUGAGCAUCUCUAGCUCAGCCCAUAGAGACCGGAACUUCCCAAAAUGAGCAUCAAAGUCUGUGUCCUCUUGACUUAGAGAGUUGAUUGCUCCUUUUACUUCAUACACCUUGCUGAUGUUGGAUUUGUUGGCAUACACCUUCUUGAGAGUAUCCCACAGCUCCUUGGAAGUUUCACAGAAUGCAUAAGCCUCUUGGAGAGAAGGGGCGAGGCUAUUCUGGAUGAUAGACAACACCAUGAGGUCCUCCUGACCUUUCUUCUUAUCCCCAGCAUCCGCAACCACCACUUCUUUGCCAUCCUCUCCUAGAACAGUCUUCUUGGUGGGGCGGCCUUCUUCAACAAUCUCCCAAAGGCCUCUGCCUCCGAGAGCUGUUUUGGCAAGUCUUGCCCAUGUCAGGUAGUUAGGACCCUUGAGAGUAACUGGUAUCAUCACCAUCUUUGGGUUCUCGGAGGUAUCCAUCAAGAGAGAAAGAGGAACGAAAGUUUUGGAUGAACUUUGCUAUUUUUGGCAAAUUCUGGAAAUGAGAUUGAAGAACACCUCAAGAACAGGAUGAACUUUGCCAAAAAUAGAAAUAAAACACAGAGAGUUCGCGGAAGAAAAAGAGAUUUAGGUCUCAAGAGCACAGCUGCUCUGAUACCAUGAUAGUUUUAGAAGAUUAAGGAGAGAUUAAGAGAGAAGAGUAAGAGAUGGAGAGAGUUUCCGUGAGAGUGUGACAAAGAGAAUAGAAGGAGAAUAAGUUUCCUUACUUGAUUUGUUACACAUGACAGGGUAUUUAAAGACAUACAAGAAUGCAUAAACAAUGAGAAGAUAGUACAAGGGAAAGAAUAAACAAAGAGGAGGCAGAUCCGCGGAUGGCUCGUUCAGCAAGAGGGAUAGUGACAGCUCCCAACGGUCAGCUCCCUCUCUCUUCUCUUAGACACACCCGUGACUCCUCCACUCACUUCUCUUCAACGGAUACAUGUCGACAUUCCCACUCACUAGGAGAUCUUUUAAUCACUUGACCGAGUUGGUUAACUCAUGACUUGCUUCCUUUCCUUGCAAGUCACUCUUAGGUUGUACGGACAGCCUUGUUCUCCAAGUUCCUAUCUUCUUGCUUUAUUCUUCAUGUCAACAAGGGAGACUUAAGCAUGGCGCAUCAAGCAGAACAAGCAAUGGCAAACAAGGCGGCUUACAAACAAGAUGAGAGGAAAGGCCUGACCUGUGACCACUGCAAGAAGAAGGGUCACUUGAAGGACAAAUGCUGGAUACUCCAUCCCCACCUUAAGCCCAGCAAGUUUAGGGAGACUCGCUCUCAAUAUCAAGAUGCAAGGGCCAACUUCUCAGCUGAUGGUGCUGAGCCAACAACACCAAUCACCAUGGGCAUAAGCAACCUAGGUGUGGGAAGUGCAACUGCCUCCACAUCAGGCUAUGCCACGCCAAGGGCCAACCUGGAUGAGACCAUCAAGAAGUCUGACCUAACUGCUCUCAUCAAGGCUCUAAAAGAAUCUGGUAUAUCUAAAACCCUUGGUGUUUCUCUUAAUGCUUCACAUACUGCUAAUGGCACUAUAAGAGUUUUUAAAUCGGCUAAGCCCUUAGUUAUAGAUUCGGGUGCUUCUCAUCACAUGAUAAGUGAUUUAGAACUGAUUAAAAACAUAGAACCGGCCUUAGGAAAUGUGAUGAUAGCAAAUGGAGAUAAAAUCCCAAUAAAAGGUGUAGGUAAUCUUAAACUAUUUGAUAAAGAAACUAAGGCUUUCUAUAUGCCCACCUUUGCUUCAAAUCUAUUAUCUGUUAAGAAAGUAACUAAUGAUCUCAAUUGUCAAGUUACAUUCACGCCUAACAGUGUGUACUUUCAGGAUAUUGAUUCUAGUAAGUUGCUUGGCAAAGGUGUUACCAAGGGAGACUUGUACUUGCUUGAGGACACAAGAUCCGCAACUGAUUUAUUUCCUGCUUUUCAUUCUGUUUCUGAAUUCCCUAAAGAUGUAAUAUGGCAUGCUAGACUAGGACAUCCUCAUUCUCAUGCCUUGAACAUCCUGUUACCUAGCAUCUCUUUUAAAAGUGAUUGUGAGGCUUGUAUCUUAGGAAAACAUUGUAGAACCGUGUUUCCUAAAUCAAAGACUCAAUAUGAUAAUUGCUUUGAUCUCAUACAUUCUGACGUAUGGACUGCCCCAUGUGCAUCUAGAGAGCAACAUAAAUAUUUUGUGACAUUCAUUGAUGAAAAAUCUAAAUACACAUGGAUCACUUUGUUGCAAUCUAAGGAUAGAGUGCUAGAAGCUUUUAAAAACUUUCAGAGUUAUAUAACUAACUAACCAUUUCAAUGUUAAGAUCAAAAUUCUUAGAUCAGAUAAUGGUGGUGAGUAUACUAGCACAGCCUUCAAACAACACCUAGCCUCACAUGGAAUCAUUCAACAAACUAGCUGCCCUUAUACACCUCAACAAAAUGGAGUGGCUGAGAGAAAGAAUAGACACUUGAUGGAAGUGGCGAGGAGUAUGAUGUUCCAUGCCAAUGUACCUAAACGUUUUUGGGGAGAUGCAGUGGUCACGGCCACCUAUCUAAUCAACCGCACACCUACAAGAGUCCUCCUUGAUGCCACUCCCUAUGAGGUACUAAACAAAUCUAGAUCAUCCAUUGACCAUUUGCGUGUGUUUGGGUGUGUGUGUUUUGUUUUGAUUCCAGGAGAACUAAGGAACAAGCUAGAAGCAAAGAGCACAAAGGCCAUGUUCAUUGGGUACUCCACACAUCAGAAAGGGUACAAAUGCUACGUACCAGAAACAAGGAGAGUCCUAGUAUCCAGAGAUGUUAAGUUCAUGGAAUCCAAGGCCUACUAUGAUGAGAAGAGUUGGAGAGAACUCAAAGAUCUAUCUCAUUCUGCCUCGGACAGAGCUAACAACCUGAAAGUUCUUAUGGAAAGACUUGGCAUCAGCUUACCAAGGGAACCAGAAAAGAGCCGGGACACUACCCCUCAGCAUGAUGGAGCUGAGGUACGAGAUAAUGAAGUCUCUCAUCAUGAUCAUGAGGGGGGCAAUGGAGAACAAUCUGCGCAAGAUCACCCUGAACAAUCUGCGCAAGCUCAACCUGAAGAAAACUCAGUAUUGUCUCAUGAUCAAGAUGAGAUGGAACAAGCAGAAACUGAAGCUCAAGGUAGUGAACCUGAGCAGACACCAGCCCUAAGAAGAAGUACAAGGAUCAGGAGACCGGCUUCAGAUUGGGUUAAGACAAGAAUCUACUACAAUGCUCAAGCCGUGGCACAUCCAGUAAGUGGAGUAUGCACCCUUGCUCAAUAUCCAGAAGAACAUCAAGUCUUUGUGAGUUCAUUGGACCAGGAAUGGAUACCAAAAACGUAUGCAGAAGCUAUGGAGGAUGAUGAAUGGAAGAGCUCAGUGGAUGAUGAAAUGGGGGCCAUGGAAAGGAAUAACACCUGGUAUGAGACAGAGCUUCCAAAAGGGAAGAAAGCCGUGACUAGCAGACUCAUACAUACCAUCAAGUACCUUGCAAAUGGGAAGCCAGAAAGGAAAAAGACCAGACUAGUGGCAAGAGGAUACACACAAGUAUAUGGAGAAGACUACCUAGAUACUUUUGCACCAGUAGCCAAGCUCCAUACAAUCCGGAUCCUCCUCUCAUUGGCAGUGAACCUAGAAUGGGAUCUUUGGCAAAUGGAUGUGAAGAAUGCAUUCUUGCAAGGUGAACUAGAGGAUGAAGUAUAUAUGAGGCCACCUCCCGGAAUGGAAGAGAUGGUGAAACCAGGGAAUGUUCUCAGACUCAGGAAGGCUAUCUAUGGCCUGAAACAAUCACCAAGAGCUUGGUACCACAAGCUAAGCACCACACUAAAUGGGAGAGGCUUUGUGAAGUCUCAAGCGGAUCACACACUGUUUACUCUCACCAGCCAGCAAGGGAUCGUUGUGAUUCUGGUCUAUGUAGAUGACAUCAUCAUCACUGGUAGUGACAAGGAAGAGAUCAGCUCAACUAAGACAUUCCUCAAGACCGCAUUUGACAUCAAAGAUCUAGGAGAAUUGAAAUAUUUCCUUGGCAUUGAGAUGUGUAGAUCAAGGGAGGGAUUGUUCAUGUCUCAAAGGAAGUAUACUUUGGACAUUCUAAAGGAGGCAGGAGACCUUGGAGGAAGAGUGGCCAAGACACCACUAGAAGAAGGCUACAAGGUUAUGCGUGAGGGGGAGUUUGAUGCAACUCCCUUUGAGGAUGUCAAGAGGUAUAGAAGAAUGGUUGGGAAGCUCAUCUAUCUUACUAUCACAAGGCCGGAUGUGUGUUUUGCUGUAAACCAAGUGAGCCAACACAUGCAAGCUCCUAAGGUACAUCAUUGGAACAUGGUGGAAAGGAUCUUGAGAUACUUAAGAGAGGCGCCAGGUCAGGGAGUGUGGAUGGCUUGCAAUAAGAGUACUGAAGUUGUUGGGUAUUGUGAUGCUGAUUGGGCUGGAGAUAGAGUUGAUAGGAGAUCAACCACAUGCUAUUGCACCUUUAUUGGAGGAAACCUAGUCACAUGGAAGAGCAAGAAGCAGAAGGUGGUCUCUUGCUCAAGUGCUGAGGCAGAGUACCGAUCUAUGAGGAAGCUUACUAGUGAACUCAUAUGGAUCAAGGGACUGCUAAAGGACUUGGGCAUAGAGAUCUCCACGCCAAUGACUAUGCAUUGUGACAAUCAGGCAGCAAUACACAUUGCAUCAAACUCUGUGUUCCAUGAGAGGACUAAGCAUAUAGAAGUGGACUGUCACAAGGUGAGACAAGCAGUGGAGCAGCAAGUGAUUCUUCCAUGCUACACAAGAAGUGAAGAUCAACUAGCUGACAUAUUCACCAAGGCGGCCAGCAGCAAGGUUUGUGAGUUCAUCCACCCUAAACUUGGACUCACGGAUCUUCCGUGUCACUGAUCUCUCCUCCCAUGAAGUGUUCUACUCUUUUUCCUUGGUUAGGGUUUUAUCCCAUGAGGUUUUUCCUAGCUAAGGUUUUAAUGAGGGAAUAGCUUCAUGGAGUCCAAGCUUGACUUGUCCCACAUGGUCAAGCUUGAGGGGGAGUGUUGACAUGAAAGCAUGAAUGACAUAGAGGAAGAAGAAAUCAAGUCAAGACAUACAUCCGGAGUGAUCAAAGUGAGCCUGUCCGUACAAGUGUGAACUAACUUGGCGUGCAAGACAAGAGGAGACUUAUAUGUGAUCAAGAAGGAUGUUAUACUUGCCUUAAGAUAUUUAAAAGAUGUCGGCCAAGAGAAGGGAUCCGUUGAAGAAGAAGACAAGGUGGUUCAAAGGAGAGAGAGCCGUUUGGUGCUGUCGCUUUCCACCUUUGCUGUGCGCACCCUGCCCUUGAUCAGUCCUCUUUGUUUAUUCUUUUCUUCUAUGUCAACUUGCCAUUAGUUUAUUCAUUGUUGUAUCUAUUUAAGGUAUGUAAUCAGAACCAAAUGGAUCAAGGAAAUAUACUUCCUCACUUCUCUCUUAUGUUUUCGAAAUCUCUCUCUCUCUCUCUCUCUCUCUCUCUCUCUCGGAUUCUUAGUAAAACCCUAGCUAUCUCUUCUCUUUGUUCUUGAUAAAUCACACAAGCCACUCUUAUAACUCAUUCAGUUUAUCACUUCUUGUGGCCAUGCUUCUUGCAGUGAUCACAACUCCCAUUGAACCUCCUCUCCUCAAACUUCCCAUGCGCAGCCGCAGCCUUGUUUGCUUGUGGAGCUUCACUACCUUCCUCUUGAGUUGCUUGGCUUGCAAGGGAAAGGUCUCCUUUCUUUGCAAACAACCCAAUUGAUAUGAUCAUGGACCAGCCAGCUGAUGGAGAUAGAGAUGGCGAGUUUAGAGAUGAACCAGCUGAAGAAGAUGAGGUCUUAUCCAUUCCUAAAGGUCCCAUGACUCGAGCCAGAGUUAGGAAACUCAAAGAAGCUAUUGGAGGACUAAUCAGGAAGUCCUUGGAGCAAGAAGAAUGUCUUGGAGGAAGCUUGAUACUUCAAGAUACGCUUAUCACCAUUCAAGCCAUCUUACCAUCAAGUUGAGUAUCAUCUAGGCUAGCAAGCUAUGUGUGCUCUUUUCCUAUCAUUGUUUUUGUCCCAUUGGGUUUUGCAAUGAUAGGUUUUUAACGAGGCCAUAGUCUUGCUAUCUUAUCACCUAGUUGAUACUCUCGGACCAAACCACAUGAAGAACCUUAUGCUAUCUUUAUUUCUAAGUAUUUAUGUCUUUCAUUUUCGAAAACUCUAUCUAAGUUAUGUCUUUAUUUCUACAUUAAUUGGAGGAGCCUGUUCCUUUAAUUUCGAAAUGCUUGGAGCCUGUUCCAAGCCUUUCACUAUAUAUAUGUGUAACUCGGCAACCCUAGCAUCUAUCAAGUUUUCUUUCAUUUAAACCUUUGUGUUUUCUUCUCCCUUGCUUUCACGAGUUAAGAGAGUGUCUGGUGUGUAGUAUCCAGUCUGUUGGUGUGUAAUAUCCAACGCCCAAGGGCUUUAGAAAGGUGUGUCAUAUCCGAUCUAAGUCUAGGAGUAUCAAGGAGCCUUUCCGCAGCCUCUUGUGUCACCAUUCGAUCCACAGCCUUGAUAAACUUGAGUCUUUGAUUCGUUUAUGCAAGGAUCUAUCCAAACCAUCCAGAGAAGAGUCCUAGGAUCUCAUUAAGUGGUAUCAGAGCACUCUGGAAGGGGAGUUUCGAUUUCUCUUUUGCGAUUUCUUAAGAUCUACUCUUUGUCGAUUCAUAUUUUUGAUCAAUCGGUUCUUGUGUGUUUAUUCUCACUUGAUCUGCUUGUUUCAUUAUCAGGAUUGCUAGAUCUGAUUGUUCCGUGUCUCAUACUGAUAGAUCUAAGAAUUUCGAUCAAGUUUUGAACAAAACCUUUUCACAUUCUUGUCGAUUACGUUAUCGUUUUGUUUGAUCCGAAAGUUUCUUGUGAUUGUGUGACUCGAUCUGUUGUUAGAAUCAGAGAUCAGGAUUUGAUUACCUCAUUUCAUCAUCUGUUGAAUCUGAUCUGUUAUUGUUUCAAUUUCGAAAAGAUAGAAUUCAAAACGUCGCGUGUUGAUCAAGUAUCUUCAUUUGCCGCUUUGUUUUGUUUCCUUAUUUGAAUCUUGAGUUUUGAAUUCUUUUGAACUACUUACUGGUUCAAGUUUUUCGUGUAUCAGGAAGCAAUGGGGUCUGAGGAGGAUGAUGAAACCUUUGUGCGAAGGAAUAGAUUGCUGCAAGAAGCAAUCACCAAACAAGUGAUGGAAGCGAUGGUGAAGUUACUGGAAGAGAAGUAUGAUCAGAGACCGCAUGAUGGGCAAGGACAAGCAUCUGGUUCAAGACAUGAGCCAAGAAGAAACAGACAAGGUCAGCGUGAGCAUGCUGGAUCAGAAGAGACUGAUAACUUCUAUGAGAGAAGUAGCCAUAGCUCCGGUUCAAGACGUAGCAGUAGAAGAUCUCGACGUGAUCAUGAGGGCCGGAGGCAUAGACGCAAUGAGCUAUCAGGAUUAAAGCUUAAGAUCCCUCCUUUCCAUGGUAAAGCUGAUCCAGAUGCCUAUCUUGAGUGGGAGAAGAAGAUCGAACUCGUUUUCAACUGUCAGCAUUACUCAGAGACUAAGAAGAUUCAAGUAGCUGCUACCGAGUUCAAUGACUAUGCAUUGAGCUGGUGGGAUCAGUUGGUUACAAACAAGAGGCGCAAUGGUGAAUUUCCCAUUGAAACAUGGGCAGAGAUGAAAGCUGUGAUGCGCAAGAGGUUUGUACCAAGCCAUUAUCACCGUGAUCUUCAUCAAAAGCUGAGACUGCUCACACAAGGAUCAAAGUCAGUAGAGGAAUACUUUCAAGAGAUGGAGUUGCUUAUGCUAAGAGCUUGUGUAUCUGAGGACAGUGAAGCUACUAUGGCACGAUUUCUUGGUGGACUCAACCGUGAGAUACAAGAUAGAGUGGAGAUGCAACACUACUUGGAGAUAGAGGAGAUGCUACACAAAGCUAUCUUGGUGGAGCAGCAAGUUAAGAGAAGAAGUUAUGCGCGUGGCAGCUAUGGUUCCAAUAGAUACCAGACCUCUAAGGAAGAUAAACCGAGCUAUCAAAAGGAGAGCAAGCCACAGCCAAAAGAAGAAUCCAAGUCUAGUAGCAUCUACAGCAAAGAUAAGGGUAAAGUGGAAGCUACAAGCUCGCGUGCAAGAGAUGUGAAGUGCUUUAAGUGCCAAGGGCGUGGGCACUAUGCUAAUGAGUGUACUAACAAGAGAGUUAUGAUUCUUCUGGAGAAUGGAGAGUUUGAAUCUGAAGAUGAGAAACUAAGGACUGAUCAAGAACUAUCAGAAGUUGAGCAUGAGGAGGAACCACCAGUUCAAGGUAGACUUUUGGUUGCAAGAAGAACUCUCAGUUUGCAAAACAAAACAGAGGAGCAAGAACAAAGAGAGAACUUGUUCUACACACGUUGUCUGGUGCAAGGAAAGGUCUGCAGCCUGAUCAUCGACGGUGGAAGCUGUGUUAAUGUUGCUAGCGAGACAAUGGUGAAGAAGCUUGGUUUGAAAGCUCAAAAGCAUCCUAAACCUUACCGGCUGCAAUGGCUUAAUGAAGAGGGCGAGAUGAGGGUAUCUACUCAGGUCUCUAUACCCUUGUCCAUUGGGAGGUAUGAAGAUGACAUUCUCUGUGAUGUGAUACCCAUGGAAGCCAGCCACAUACUACUAGGAAGGCCUUGGCAAUUUGAUAGGCGUGUCAUCCAUGAUGGCUUCACCAACAAACAUUCUUUUGAGUUCAACGGCAAGCGAACUGUCUUGGUACCUCUAACUCCUAAAGAAGUGCAUGAAGAUCAGCUCCAGCUUCAGAAAAAGAAAGAGGUUGAUCUCAAACCAGAUAAGCAACACAACUUCUAUGCUAAAGCUAGUGAAAUCAAAAGAUCUCUUUAUUCUCAUCAAUCGGUUCUCUUAUUUAUCUUUAAAGAAUCUCUUUUGUCUCUAACUGAUUAUACACCGGUGUAUCCGAGUGAGAUGUCAGCUCUUUUACAGGAAUACCAGGAUGUAUUUCCAGAAGAUAAUCCUAUAGGAUUGCCCCCUAUUCGAGGGAUUGAGCAUCAGAUUGAUUUUGUACCAGGAGCUACUCUUCCCAACAGACCAGCAUACAGAACUAAUCCUGUGGAAACCAAGGAGCUACAAAGGCAGGUUGAGGAACUGAUGGAGAAAGGCCAUAUCCGUGAAAGUAUGAGCCCAUGUGCUGUGCCUGUGCUCCUUGUGCCAAAGAAAGAUGGAAGCUGGCGUAUGUGUGUUGAUUGUAGAGCAAUCAACAACAUAACAGUGAAGUAUCGCCACCCUAUUCCUAGAUUAGAUGAUAUGCUUGAUGAGUUGCAUGGUUCUAGUGUCUUUUCUAAGAUAGAUUUGAAGAGUGGAUAUCAUCAAAUAAGAAUGAAAGAGGGAGAUGAGUGGAAAACAGCCUUUAAGACUAAGCAUGGGUUGUAUGAGUGGUUAGUCAUGCCUUUUGGAUUAACCAAUGCUCCUAGCACUUUUAUGAGAUUGAUGAAUCAUGUGCUUAGAUCUUUCAUAGGUUUGUUUGUGGUAGUAUACUUUGAUGAUAUCCUUGUUUACAGUAAGAACCUAGGAGAGCAUAUAGAUCAUCUUAAGUCUGUUCUUGAUGUGUUGAGAAAAGAAAAACUAUUUGCUAACCUUAAGAAAUGCACUUUUUGUACGGAUAACUUGGUCUUCCUAGGCUUUGUUGUGAGUGCAGAUGGAGUAAAGGUGGAUCAGGAGAAGGUGAGAGCAAUUCAAGAAUGGCCAAUUCCAAAAACUAUAAGUGAAGUAAGGAGCUUCCACGGCCUUGCUGGCUUCUACCGACGGUUUGUGAAAGACUUUAGCACCAUAGCAGCCCCAUUGACUGAGGUGAUCAAGAAAGAAGUUGGAUUCAAAUGGGGAGAAGCACAAGAACUUGCAUUUCAAUGCCUAAAAGAGAAGCUUACUAAUGCCCCUCUUCUUAUACUUCCUGAUUUCAAUAAAACUUUUGAAAUUGAAUGUGAUGCCUCAGGAAUUGGAAUUGGUGCUGUUCUUAUGCAGGAGAAGAGACCCAUAGCUUAUUUCAGUGAGAAGCUUGGAGGCGCCACUCUCAACUAUGCAACUUAUGAUAAGGAAUUGUAUGCCUUGGUGAGAGCUUUGCAGACUUGGCAGCAUUACUUGUGGCCCAAGGAGUUUGUGAUACACACGGAUCAUGAGUCUCUCAAGUACUUGAAAGGACAGAACAAGCUCAGCAAGAGACACGCAAGAUGGGUAGAAUUCAUAGAAACCUUUCCUUAUGUCAUCAAGUACAAACAAGGUAAAGAAAACAUAGUUGCUGAUGCACUAUCUCGAAGGUAUGUUCUCUUGAACACUCUUGAUGCUAAGCUAUUAGGUUUUGAGCAGAUUAAAGAAAUGUAUGAAUCUGAUCCAGAUUUUAAAGAAGCUUAUAACUCUUGUGAGAAAUUUGCUGUUGGACAUUAUUUUAGACAUGAUGGAUUCCUCUUUUAUGAUAAUAGACUGUGUGUGCCUAAUUGCUCUUUGAGAGAUUUGUUUGUUAGGGAAUCACAUGGAGGGAGUCUCAUGGGUCACUUUGGUAUUGCAAAGACUCUUAAAACCUUGCAGGAUCAUUUCUUUUGGCCUCGGAUGAAAAGUGAUGUGGAGAAACUAUGUGAGAGAUGUGCAACUUGCAAGCAAGCUAAGUCUAAGGUUCAGUCUCACGGUUUGUAUACUCCUCUCCCUAUUCCUUAUCAUCCUUGGAAUGACAUAUCUAUGGAUUUCAUUGUUGGAUUGCCUAGAACUAGGACUGGGAAGGACUCUAUCUUUGUUGUUGUUGACAGGUUCUCAAAAAUGGCACAUUUCAUAGCAUGUCACAAAACUGAUGAUGCAUUGCAUGUAGCUAAUCUGUUCUUUAAGGAGAUUGUGCGUUUACAUGGCAUGCCUAGAACCAUAGUUUCUGAUAGAGAUACUAAGUUUCUUAGUUAUUUUUGGAAAACUCUUUGGUCUAAGCUAGGCACUAAGUUGUUGUUCUCCACUACUUGUCAUCCGCAAACUGAUGGACAGACUGAAGUAGUUAAUAGAACUCUAGGAACACUCUUGCGUGCAUUCAUUAAAAAGAAUCUGAAAUCUUGGGAAGACUAUCUGCCACAUUGUGAAUUUGCAUAUAAUCAUGCUGUGCAUUCUGCUUCUAAGUUUUCACCCUUUGAAAUUGUUUAUGGGUUCAAUCCCACCUCUCCUUUGGAUUUAAUUCCUUUACCUGAGUGUGAAAGGGUCAGUUUGGAUGGCAAAAAGAAGGCAGAGAUGGUGAAACAACUCCACGAGCAAGCUAGGCUCAACAUUGAAGAGAAAACUAAGCAGUAUGUCAAGCAUGCCAACAAAGGAAGGCGUGAGAUGGUCUUUAAGGAGGGUGAUAAAGUUUGGGUUCAUUUGAGAAAAGAGAGGUUUCCUAAUGAGAGGAAGUCAAAGCUUAUGCCAAGAAUUGAUGGACCUUUUGAGAUCACAAAGAAGAUCAGCAACAAUGCCUACAAGAUUGAUCUCCAAGGUAAGUAUGAUGUAAGUAAUAGCUUCAAUGUUACUGACUUGAUCCCUUUUAUUGCAGAUGAACCUGAUUUGAGGUCAAAUCCUUUUCAAGAGGGAGGGGAUGAUAUGAUCAUGGACCAGCCAGCUGAUGGAGAUAGAGAUGGCGAGUUUAGAGAUGAACCAGCUGAAGAAGAUGAGGUCUUAUCCAUUCCUAAAGGUCCCAUGACUCGAGCCAGAGUUAGGAAACUCAAAGAAGCUAUUGGAGGACUAAUCAGGAAGUCCUUGGAGCAAGAAGAAUGUCUUGGAGGAAGCUUGAUACUUCAAGAUACGCUUAUCACCAUUCAAGCCAUCUUACCAUCAAGUUGAGUAUCAUCUAGGCUAGCAAGCUAUGUGUGCUCUUUUCCUAUCAUUGUUUUUGUCCCAUUGGGUUUUGCAAUGAUAGGUUUUUAACGAGGCCAUAGUCUUGCUAUCUUAUCACCUAGUUGAUACUCUCGGACCAAACCACAUGAAGAACCUUAUGCUAUCUUUAUUUCUAAGUAUUUAUGUCUUUCAUUUUCGAAAACUCUAUCUAAGUUAUGUCUUUAUUUCUACAUUAAUUGGAGGAGCCUGUUCCUUUAAUUUCGAAAUGCUUGGAGCCUGUUCCAAGCCUUUCACUAUAUAUAUGUGUAACUCGGCAACCCUAGCAUCUAUCAAGUUUUCUUUCAUUUAAACCUUUGUGUUUUCUUCUCCCUUGCUUUCACGAGUUAAGAGAGUGUCUGGUGUGUAGUAUCCAGUCUGUUGGUGUGUAAUAUCCAACGCCCAAGGGCUUUAGAAAGGUGUGUCAUAUCCGAUCUAAGUCUAGGAGUAUCAAGGAGCCUUUCCGCAGCCUCUUGUGUCACCAUUCGAUCCACAGCCUUGAUAAACUUGAGUCUUUGAUUCGUUUAUGCAAGGAUCUAUCCAAACCAUCCAGAGAAGAGUCCUAGGAUCUCAUUACCAAUGGAGCCUUGCUCCUUCUGAAUCCGCGCACAUACAUCCUCAAGAUCAGGUAGAGUGUCUUCUCUAAGCAGGUGCUGGAUGAGACCGUUGUAAGCCGGGUUCAGCGUGAGGAGUAGCCCAAAGACCUUGUCUUGCUCUCUCCUCUUGUUAAGCUCAUCAGCAUCCGUUGUGCUUGGCCUAAGCAUCUCCAUCUCGGACCAGAGACUCCUGAAUCUCCCUAGAUGCUUGGUGAACUCCAUGUCUUCUUGUACAAGGUUGUUGAUGGCUUGCUUCACUUCAAACACUCGGCUUAGGUUUGACGUGUUGCCAUACACCUUCUUCAAAGUAUCCCACAGCUCCUUAGCAGACUCACAGUAGCUGUAUGCAUCCAGAAUAGCCGGCUCAAGUGACGCAUGAAGCACAGACAUCACCAGCAUAUCCUCUUGAUGCCACUUCUCUUCCGCCUUGCUUGCAGCCUCACCAUCAUCCUCUCCUUGAGUGAUGAGUUUUGGAGCUUCUCCGGGGGUGAUGUGCUUCCACAACCCCUUGCUUCCCACCGUGGUUCUCACCAUCCGAGACCACACCAAGUAGUUGGUUCCCUUGAAGACCACAGCUACCUUCAUGUUCAUGUUCAUCCCACUCUCCAUGUUGAAUGAUGAACUCUCUAAGCUUCAGAAACUUUAUCUUGAGUUGACUGACUUGUAGAAACCUUCACAGCCUCGAUCUUCAACCCACACAGCUUCAGAUGAUACACCACAACCAGUCUUGAACUUGAAAAGUACCCAGAAACUCUCAAACACACAAGAACACAAGAGUUUCUUCAAAGCUUCAACCUUGAGGCUUCAAAGAAUCUCACACGACCUCAGGCUCUCACUAACCUGGCUCUGAUACCAUAUCACUUUUAGUGAUGUUUAGAGUGAUCUGAGUAUUUAGGAAAGAUUAGAAGAGAUUUAGAGAAGAUUAAAGUAUGAAAUGAGAUUAAGAGUCUAAAGAACUAAAGAGAGACUAAGAGAGACUCAUAACUUGCUUAAUCUUAUUAAUGAGAGAGUUUACACUUAUAUAGGAAGCUUAAGACACUAGGGUUUCGAUUACAUAAAGUAGAAAGCAUGUGAGGUCAAUAACCAGCUAAGAGCUCAUUUGAAUCCUUCCAAUGAGAGUCUCCACAUGUGUAAAGCAUCUUUGAAUAUGCCUUUACCUUUCCAGCCUAUGACAGGCUGUCAGACGCGCCUCCCUUAUCCUUCUAAUGUUCAGCUCAACUUCAGGUUCACGGUAAGUAAGGUAAGGUAACUCCAGCCUAUUUACAUUUCACCUUGGCCGAGUUACUUCUUGCGGAUGGUCGUUGGUACGGCCUGCGUCCGUACUGCUCUCCCUAUCCGUACUGUCUGUCCGUACAUGCUCCUUCUCUUACUUGCUUAUUAACUCCUCAACACUUCUACACCCUCUUGGACUUCUUCUUCAUAUUAUAGUGCACUCUUCUCAACAUUAACCAGGUGUAUUUGGAUUUUUCAUCAAUGAAAGUUACAUAAUACUUAUGAUUUUCUCUAGAUAGGCAAGGUGCAGUCCAAACAUCAGAAUGAAUAAGAUCAAAACACUUUUCAUAAACAGUAGUAGACUUGUUAAAGACAGUUCUACAAUGCUUGCCUAAAAUGCAAGCUUCACAAUCAUUAUUCUCAAAGGAAACACCUGGCAACAUCAGUUUUAAAGCCUUAUUAUGAGGGUGUCCUAAUCUAGCAUGCCACAAUGCAUUUUUACUUAAACCAGAACUAGAAACAGAAGUAAAUGAGCAGCUAUAUCUAGAAACAGGAGUGAGAUCUUCAAGUAAAUACAGCUCUCCUUUAGUCACUCCCUUUCCAAUCAUCUUGCUGCUUUUAAUAUCCUGAAACUUCACAUCAUUAGGACUGAAUAUAACAUUGCAUUGCAAAUCAGUAGCACAUUUCUUAACAGAUAACAAGUUUGAUGUAAAUUCAGGCAUAUAAAAAGCUUUAGUUUCCUUAUCAAAUAGUUUAAGACUUCCUAUUCCUCUAAUAGGAAUCUUAUCUCCAUUAGCAAUCAGUACAUUUCCAUUCAUUGGCACAAUGUUUUUAAUUAAGCUAGUGUCACUUAUCAUAUGAUGAGAUGCACCUGAAUCAAUCACUAAUGGCUUAAUGUCAUGAGAACUAGCAAUAUGCGCAAGGAUACUAGAUGGUUUGAAUGCAUGAUCAUUUCUAGCAAGGUUUGCAGUCCUAGAUUGAUUUACCAUUUCUACCAAGCUCUCAUGCAUCCUAUCAGUUCUAGUUAGAUUCUCAUAGUUCUCUAUCACCCUAGCACCAAAAGAAUACCCAAAGAUGUUACCAUUCUCCUUGAACAUCUUAAUGAGAGCAUCAAGGUCGGAUCUCCUUAGAUACUCUUGAUCAUUGUUCCCACGGUUGCUUGAUGCUCCAGUGUAGGCUACCAGAGACUUUCCAUCACCUGCCUCACGCCCAUCUAUCUCCUUUCCUUUGCUUGUACCAGCUCCACUUGUUCCAUCCGAGACAUUAGCCCUUGCCUCACGGUCCUUCAUGAACUUAGCCGGCUUGAGGUGAGGAUGGAGUAUCCAGCAUUGGCUCUUCUUGUGGCCAUGCUUCUUGCAGUGAUCACAACUCCCAUUGAACCUCCUCUCCUCAAACUUCCCAUGCGCAGCCGCAGCCUUGUUUGCUUGUGGAGCUUCACUACCUUCCUCUUGAGUUGCUUGGCUUGCAAGGGACAGGUCUCCUUUCUUUGCAAACAACCCAAUGGAGCCUUGCUCCUUCUGAAUCCGCGCACACACAUCCUCAAGAUCAGGUAGAGUGUCUUCUCUAAGCAGGUGCUGGAUAAGACCGUUGUAAGCCGGGUUCAGCGUGAGGAGUAGCCCAAAGACCUUGUCUUGCUCUCUCCUCUUGUUAAGCUCAUCAGCAUCCGUUGUGCUUGGCCUAAGCAUCUCCAUCUCGGACCAGAGACUCCUGAAUCUCCCUAGAUGUUUGGUGAACUCCAUGUCUUCUUGUACAAGGUUGUUGAUGGCUUGCUUCACUUCAAACACUCGGCUUAGGUUUGAUGUGUUGCCAUACACCUUCUUCAAAGUAUCCCAUAGCUCCUUAGCAGACUCACAGUAGCUGUAUGCAUCCAGAAUAGCCGGCUCAAGUGAUGCAUGAAGCACAGACAUCACCAGCAUAUCCUCUUGAUGCCACUUCUCUUCCGCCUUGCUUGCAGCCUCACCAUCAUCCUCUCCUUGAGUGAUGAGUUUUGGAGCUUCUCCGGGGGUGAUGUGCUUCCACAACCCCUUGCUUCCCACCGUGGUUCUCACCAUCCGAGACCACACCAAGUAGUUGGUUCCCUUGAAGAUCACAGCUACCUUCAUGUUCAUGUUCAUCCCACUCUCCAUGUUGAAUGAUGAACUCUCUAAGCUUCAGAAACUUUAUCUUGAGUUGAAUGACUUGUAGAACCCUUCACAGCCUCGAUCUUCAACCCACACAGCUUCAGAUGAUACACCACAACCAGUCUUGAACUUGAAAAGUACCCAGAAACUCUCAAACACACAAGAACACAAGAGUUUCUUCAAAGCUUCAACCUUGAGGCUUCAAAGAAUCUCACACGACCUCAGGUUCUCACUAACCUGGCUCUGAUACCAUAUCACUUUUAGUGAUGUUUAGAGUGAUCUGAGUAUUUAGGAAAGAUUAGAAGAGAUUUAGAGAAGAUUAAAGUAUGAAAUGAGAUUAAGAGUCUAAAGAACUAAAGAGAGACUAAGAGAGACUCAUAACUUGCUUAAUCUUAUUAAUGAUGAGGUUACAAUAUAUAUAGAGAGAUCAGAUACAAGGGUUUCCAUUUGAUCACUAUUCUAAGCAUGUGGAGUCAAGGGAAGAGGCUCCUCAUUUCAAACUCAGCCAAUAAGAGAGUGAUCGUGUGUGAGGCAUCUUGGACUGAGAUGCUUUGCCUUUCCAGCCUGUCACAGCCUGUCAAGGCUCUCCACCUUAUCCACAACCUUAUCCUAACCUCAGCGCACACUCCUCUCUUUCCUGGAAGUUUCCCUUUGCCUAUUUCACUCUCAAGUAACUCCUUUCACUCAGGUAACUUCCUUUUAACCCUUUUUACCACAGUAACAAAUAUUUACUGUGGUAACUUUCUCCACCCAAGUUACUUCAACUCUCCAUAACUACUCCUCAUCUCAACAUUUAGGAUCCUGAUAAGGUUUGCUGUCUUCAAUCUCCCCCUCUCGUGGGACUUUGUAGCCAUCCUCCAUAGGCAUCCUUGCUGUCUUGCCUCCAUAAGCACCUGCACCUUUCAAAAGAUCAAGUGUAUACUUCCUUUGGGACAUGAACAAACCCUCCUUGGAUCUACAUAUCUCAAUUCCAAGAAAGUAUUUCAUUUCUCCCAAGUCUUUAAUCUCAAACAUGGAUUUAAGGAACUCCUUGGUUGCUAUGAUACCUUCCUUAUCACUUCCUGUGAUAAUGAUAUCAUCAACAUACACAAGGAGUGCAAUCAUACCUGAGGAAGUAGUGAGAGUGAAGAGGGUGUGGUCUAGUUCAGACUUCUUGAAGCCUCGGCCAUUCAGAGUAGUACUCAGCUUGUUGUACCAAGCUCUUGGUGAUUGCUUCAGUCCAUAGAUAGCUUUCUUCAGUCUCAACACAUUCCCUCUCUUUACUAAGUGUUCCAAGCCUGGAGUGUUGAGAUGAGGAGAUGAAGAGUGGAUACAUGGAUAGAGGAAGGGAUUUGGAGCAGGCAGUAACUUGGAGAUUUACCACAGUAACUUUAUUGUUACUGUGGUAACUGAGUUAAAAGACUUGGGAAGUUACCUUGCAUCUAUGUGAAGAGUGAAUCACGCCAGGAGGAGUCUGAAUAAGCAAGGAGGAGUUUGGAUAAGGUCUGGUCAAGGCUAGAGAGCUUUAGACAGGCUGGCACCAGCUGGAAAGCUAAAGCAAGAUGCCCAAGCAUGUGAGGAACCUUAUUGGCUAGUUUAAAUCAAGCAUCUUUGACUACACAUGCUUCUUAUCCUAGCUAGAGUGAACCUGGACGAAUUUAUGUAUCCCUAAUCUAUAUGUGUUGUAAACUCUCUCAUUAAUCAAUCUAAUGGAGUUUUGAGUCUCUCUCUAUUCUCUCACUAAAAUCUCUUAAUCUCUUUAAUCUUUUCAUCUGAUUAUCCUGGAUUAGUUGAAUCAUGCUCUAAUACACAAAAGUGUAUAUGGUAUCAGAGCCAGGUUGCGCAAAGUGGGAGAGUGUGAUUCCUUUUUCUUAAAAUUAUUGAGUGUUCUUGAGUGUUCUUGGUGUUCUUAACUUCUGGGUUUCAUUAUCUUGGUGGCGUGAGAGGUUCUGGUGAAUCCAAAUCAUCUCAACAUGGAAAUGGAGCACAGACCUGAGUCAACUGUGAAGACUGAAGAGGAGAGGCAUGGCGAGUGGUCAAGGUGGGCUAAAAGAGCUUUGGAAAGCUGUGGGUUAUGGAGUAGUCAUGGAAAGGGGAAACCUUUCAUGGAAAUGGCUACUGAAGAAGGUCAGACAAGAGGUCUGAAGCUGGGAAAUGAAGUUGUUCAAGGAAACACUACAAAGAGUGAGAUUGAAGCAACUUUAGGCAAGUCCAAGCUUGUGAGAGUCGUUGAGGACAGAGGGGUGAUCCGCGGCUUGAGACAAGGAAAGGAUGAGUGUUAUCAGCUUGUGGGAAGGCUGAGAGAAGUGUGGUCAGAGCUAGAUAUGGUGAAGACACACACAUCAAAUCCGAGAUGUAGUCAAGAAAGGAGGAAGCAAGAUGUGAUCUUCAGCUUCCUUAUGGAAGAGGUAUGUGAGCUUGUUAAAUAUACUUGUGAUGUGUGGGAAAUGAACAGGAAGCCAGAAAGAUGGAAGGGAGGUACAAGCUGUAAGAGGGGAAGGUUGAGAAAACUUUCUAAGGAGUGGUUAAUGAAGAGAAGGGUAUGGAGAAAGGAUAGCGAGUCUGAGCACUUAAGUGGCAGGAUGAGUGUAAUCUUGAAGAGAAUCAAGGAUGCACUUCAGCAGAUGGUUAUAGGAGAGUGUUCAUACUCAGCUUACAUGGGAGAAACAGUAGGAGACAGUGCGGAUAUGAGAGGAAUGGAUACCAAGAGGGCAGAUGAGUGUGUGACAAAGGAGGAAUGGGAUGAGUUGGUUAAGCAUGUGUAUGCUUUGGCUACGACCCGGAGUCUGGGUGCUCCUGCCAAAGCAUCCACAUCUAAACCCAUCAUCAUUGACUCUGGAGCAACACACCACAUGAUCAGUGACAAGAGACUAAUCAGUGAGGUUAAAGCAGCAACAGGGAGUGUCAUGAUAGCCAAUGGUACCAGGAUCCCAAUAGAAGGAGUGGGAAACCUCAAGCUGUUUGAGAAGAACUCCACUGCCUUCUACCUACCUCAGUUUACAUCCAAUCUAAUCUCAGUUAAGAAGGCUACAGUUGAUCUGGAUUGUCAAGUAGUUUUCAGACCAAAUGAAGUUGAGUUCCAGGAUUUGAAGACUGGAAGGGUUAUUGGCAGAGGAGACAGCAAGCAUCAGCUCUAUCAUCUCCAAACAACUGAGGCGCCUAGUCCUGUGGAGUCUGUGUGUUUAAGCAGCAGCACAACGGAUAGGUGUGAUAAUCUCACAUGGCAUGCAAGGCUGGGACAUCCUCAUGCCAAGGCAAUUGAACUGAUUCUACCAAGUAUGGCGUUCAAUCACUUGGAGUGUGAAGCUUGUAUACUUGGAAAGCACUGUAGGACUGUCUUCCCAACAUCAGAAACCAGAUAUGAGAAUUGCUUUGAUCUGGUGCAUUCAGACGUGUGGACAGCUCCCUGUAUGUCUAGAGACAGCCAUAAGUACUUUGUGACUUUCAUUGAUGAGAAGUCAAAGUACACAUGGAUCACCAUGAUUCCCUCCAAAGACAGAGUCCUAGAAGCCUUCAUGAACUUCCAAGCAUAUGUUACUAAUCAGUACAAUGCCACUGUGAAGAUUCUGAGGUCUGAUAAUGGAGGAGAAUACACUAGCAAUGCUUUCAAGAGUCAUCUUGCAAAGCAUGGGAUUGUGCAACAAACUAGCUGUCCUUACACACCACAACAAAAUGGGGUGGCUGAGAGGAAGAACAGACAUUUGAUGGAGGUUGCGAGAUCAAUCAUGUUCCACAUGAAUGUCCCUAAGAGGUUUUGGAGUGAUGCUGUUCAGACUGCUUGCUAUCUCAUCAAUAGAGUGCCAACCCGUGUCUUGAAGAAACUGUCUCCCUUUGAAGUAUUGAACAAGACCAAGCCACACAUUGAUCAUUUGAGAGUCUUUGGGUGCUUAUGUUAUGUGAUGAUUCCCGGAGAAAGAAGGAACAAGCUAGAAGCAAAGAGUACUAAAGCUAUGUUCAUUGGGUACUCGAUCACUCAGAAAGGCUACAAAUGUUAUGAUCCAAUAACUAGGAGGGUUAUGGUAUCUAGAGAAGUGAAGUUUGUUGAGUCUAAAGGGUAUUAUGAGGAGAAGAAAUGGGAAGACCUAGAGGAUCUGUCCCGAGCUCCAUCAGAGAAGGCAACAACAUUGAGGGUGUUGUUGGAGAGGCUAGGGAUAGGAUUAUCCCAAGAUCAGGAACCAGGAAGAACAGGACCUACUAAUCAAGCUGGAGAAGCUGGAGGAACAACUCCUCUUGAUCAUGAGAGGGGGAAUUGAUGUGACCUUGUUCAGGAACAAGCAAAUCAAGAGAAGUCCAAAAAAAAGAAAGGCUCACCAAGAAAAUACAAGCCAAUGUCGUAUAAUAUAUCAAUCUGACGGCAAUUCAGAGACCGUCGAUCAUGCAAAAGGAUGCGACCAGCCAAGGAAUUCUGCGAACACGAUUUCCAAAAUUCAGUCAACAGUCUUGGUCUUUGGUCAAGUCAAUAUUCCUAGUCAAGUCUUCAUAGUUUUAAGAGCUUUAUAGUUUCAGUGAUUGACUAGAUUAUUUAAUUUUACAAAUUGCCUAUUAUAUAAAGGUUUGUUUUGUAUUGUUUUUAUUCAUUCAACCCUUUUAAUAAAAAUUUACUUUUUAAAUUUGUUGAAUCCUUUGUUCUUUGGAACAUCGUAAUGCUACGAGAGUGAUCUCCGUAAGCACGGUCACGUUCACUAGUGGGGCUGCCUCUCACGGACUAAGACCAACCAACAAGUAUCUGGCCUUCCGCAGCCUUAUACUGAAGAACCAUCGAUCCACCUUUCCUUUAAUCCAUCUUUGGGUCAAAGCUUAUCCUUUUCACCAACCUUCGAGUGCAUUCCUUGGGAGAUUUUCUAUUAUUUGGUAUCAGAGCACACUUGAGGGUUCGGUGUUCACUUCUGUCAUUCAUCAUUCUCAUCUUUCCAUCUUCUACAAAAAAAAAAAAAAAAAAAAAUCCACGAGAAAACAAGAGAUCAUUCCAUCUGAAGUUAAACCGAGACUGCUCCUCCAUCUCUCGUAAUGGCUCUAGGAGAUUGCUUCUCCAAAAGCAACCUGUUUUGAUCACUAGUGGGGCUGCCUCUCACGGUCACAGGUUCUAAACAUUAAGUCGGAUUUGAGGGCAAAUCCUUUUGAAGGAGGAGGGGAUGAUGUGACCUUGUUCAGGAACAAGCAAAUCAAGAGAAGUCCAAAAAAAAGAAAGGCUCACCAAGAAAAUACAAGCCAAUGUCGUAUAAUAUAUCAAUCUGACGGCAAUUCAGAGACCGUCGAUCAUGCAAAAGGAUGCGACCAGCCAAGGAAUUCUGCGAACACGAUUUCCAAAAUUCAGUCAACAGUCUUGGUCUUUGGUCAAGUCAAUAUUCCUAGUCAAGUCUUCAUAGUUUUAAGAGCUUUAUAGUUUCAGUGAUUGACUAGAUUAUUUAAUUUUACAAAUUGCCUAUUAUAUAAAGGUUUGUUUUGUAUUGUUUUUAUUCAUUCAACCCUUUUAAUAAAAAUUUACUUUUUAAAUUUGUUGAAUCCUUUGUUCUUUGGAACAUCGUAAUGCUACGAGAGUGAUCUCCGUAAGCACGGUCACGUUCACUAGUGGGGCUGCCUCUCACGGACUAAGACCAACCAACAAGUAUCUGGCCUUCCGCAGCCUUAUACUGAAGAACCAUCGAUCCACCUUUCCUUUAAUCCAUCUUUGGGUCAAAGCUUAUCCUUUUCACCAACCUUCGAGUGCAUUCCUUGGGAGAUUUUCUAUUAGGAAUGGAUCUGAAUCAGGGGAGCAGGAGCAUAACCAAGAGGAUUCAGGUCAGCAUGAUCAGGAGGAGACACAGGAAGUAGAGAGUGGAGCUCAGUCAGGUGGAAAUGAGCAGGGAGAACCUGCUGGAAAUGAGCAGGGGGAACCUACUGGUUUAAGAGAGGAAGCACAAGAGAAUGUUCAGGCUGAAGAACAGGUUGAGACCUUGCGGAGGAGCACAAGGAUAAGGAGGGAUCCUUCCAACUGGGUAAACACGAGAGUGUACUACAAUGCCCAGGCUGUGGAGCAUCCCUCUCAAGCCAUGUGUUCCUUUGCUGAGUUUCCAGAAGAGCACAUGGUGUUUAUGUGUAACUUGGAUGAGAAUGAGAUACCAAGAUCUUAUGAAGAAGCUAUGAAGCACAAGGUUUGGAGAGAUUCAGUAGGAGAUGAAAGGGAUGCAAUGAUCAGGAAUGACACUUGGUAUGAGAGUGAAUUACCUAGAGGGAAGAAGGCAGUUUCAAGCAGAUGGAUCUUCACCAUUAAAUAUCUUGCAAAUGGGGAGAUAGAUAGGCACAAGACCAGGCUGGUUGCAAGAGGAUUUACACAGACUUAUGGAGAAGAUUACAUUGAUACUUUUGCACCAGUGGCCAAGCUUCACACAAUUCGAAUUGUGUUAUCCAUUGCAACAAACUUGGAGUGGGAUUUGUGGCAGAUGGAUGUGAAGAAUGCUUUCCUGCAAGGUGAGCUAGAAGAUGAGGUAUAUAUGCUUCCUCCUCCUGGUCUUGAGCAUCUAGUAAAGCCAGGAAAUGUUUUGAGAUUGAAGAAAGCUAUAUAUGGGUUGAAGCAGUCUCCUAGAGCCUGGUACAGGAAGCUGAGUACAACACUCAAUGGGAGAGGGUUCAGGAAGUCUGAACUAGAUCACACACUCUUCACACUGGUCGGGCCAUCAGGGAUCAUUGUGAUUCUAGUGUAUGUGGAUGAUUUGAUUAUCACAGGGAGUGAUAAGGCUGGGAUUAAAGCCACUAAAGAGUUUCUCAGGUCAGUAUUUGAUAUCAAAGACUUGGGAGAGAUGAAGUAUUUCUUGGGGAUUGAGAUAUGCAGAUCAAAGGAGGGUUUGUUCAUGUCUCAAAGGAAGUAUGCAAUGGAUAUGCUAAAGGAAGCUGAUGUGCUUGGAGGAAAGAUAGCUAAGACACCUCUUGAGGAGGGGUAUAAGGUCUUGCGUGAGGGGGAGGUUGAAGAGAACCAGUUGUUUGAGGAUGCUAAGCUGUAUAGGAGGAUGGUUGGAAAGCUGAUCUACUUGACGAUUACAAGACCUGAUAUAUGCUUUGCAGUGAAUCAAGUGAGCCAGCAUAUGCAGGCACCAAAGGUUCAUCAUUGGAAGAUGGUUGAUAGGAUACUGAGGUAUUUGAGUGGCACGUCUGGUCAAGGAGUUUGGAUGGGUUGUAAUGGCAGUACAGAAGUGGUUGGAUAUUGUGAUGCUGAUUGGGCAGGAGAUAGAGUGGACAGGAGAUCAACUACUGGGUAUUGUACAUUCAUUGGAGGGAACUUGGUCACUUGGAAGAGUAAGAAGCAGAAGGUUAUCUCCUGUUCAAGUGCUGAAGCUGAGUAUAGAGCCAUGUUGAAGCUGACAAACGAGUUGGUGUGGAUCAAGGGGAUCUUGAAGCAUUUGGAGAUUGAGCAGAGUACUCCUAUGACAAUGCAUUGUGACAAUCAAGCAGCUAUCCACAUUGCUUCUAACUCAGUCUUUCAUGAGAGGACGAAGCAUAUAGAAGUUGAUUGUCACAAGGUGAGGCAGAUGAUUAUACUUGGAGUUAUAUUGCCAUGUUAUACAAGAAGUGAAGAUCAGCUUGCAGAUGUGUUUACUAAGGCAGCGAGAGUAAAGACAAUGGAGUCCAUACUAUCAAGACUUGGACUCAUUGAUCUUACUCCUAGGAGCUGAGCCCCUUAACCAUGGAGUCUCCACUCUUUUUCCCUCAUCAAGGUUUUAUCCCAUUGGGUUUUCCUUGGUGAGGUUUUUAAUGAGGGAGGUCUUCAUGGUUUCCAAGCUUGACUUGUUCUACAUGGUCAAGCUUGAGGGGGAGUGUUGAGAUGAGGAGAUGAAGAGUGGAUACAUGGAUAGAGGAAGGGAUUUGGAGCAGGCAGUAACUUGGAGAUUUACCACAGUAACUUUAUUGUUACUGUGGUAACUGAGUUAAAAGACUUGGGAAGUUACCUUGCAUCUAUGUGAAGAGUGAAUCACGCCAGGAGGAGUCUGAAUAAGCAAGGAGGAGUUUGGAUAAGGUCUGGUCAAGGCUAGAGAGCUUUAGACAGGCUGGCACCAGCUGGAAAGCUAAAGCAAGAUGCCCAAGCAUGUGAGGAACCUUAUUGGCUAGUUUAAAUCAAGCAUCUUUGACUACACAUGCUUCUUAUCCUAGCUAGAGUGAACCUGGACGAAUUUAUGUAUCCCUAAUCUAUAUGUGUUGUAAACUCUCUCAUUAAUCAAUCUAAUGGAGUUUUGAGUCUCUCUCUAUUCUCUCACUAAAAUCUCUUAAUCUCUUUAAUCUUUUCAUCUGAUUAUCCUGGAUUAGUUGAAUCAUGCUCUAAUACACAAAAGUGUAUAUGGAGGUGGAUGCAUAUACACUUCAUCCUCCAGCUCUCCUUGCAGAAAUGCAUUCUUCACAUCCAUUUGCCAUAAGCCCCAUCCAAGGUUCACAGCUAAGCUUAAGACAAUCCGGAUUGUGUGAAGUUUAGCUACUGGUGCAAACGUCUCAAUGUAAUCCUCUCCAUAAGUUUGAGUAAAUCCUCUUGCAACCAAUCUUGACUUCUUCCUCUCCACCUUUCCAUCAGCCUUAUACUUGAUUGUGAAGAUCCAUCUACUAGUCACAGCCUUCUUCCCUUUUGGUAACUCACUCUCAUACCAUGUAUCAUUCUUGAUCAUGGCUCCUGCCUCAGCUCCAACUGAUUCCUUCCAUUCUUUAUAUCCAUCAUUGCCUCUUCAUAGCUUCUUGGUAUGUAGUUCUCAUCCAAGUUUACCAUAAAAGCACAAUGUUCUUCAGGGUAUUGAGCAAAGGAACACACAGCCUGAGAAGGAUGCUCCACAGCCUGGGCAUUGUAGUACACUCUCGUGCUUACCCAGUUGGAAGCAUCUCUCCUAAUCCGUGUGCUUCUUCUCAAUGCUGGUUCCGGUUGUUCCACUUCCACUUGUGAUUCUUCUCCACUUUCUUGUGGUACGGAAGUAGACACUUCAACUGCCUCUUCUUCUCCUAGCUGACUUGCUUCAGCUCCAUCUUGCUGUUCACUUACUUCCACAUCUUGAUCAUGUGUACCGGAUGCUCCACUACUCUCUUGAGUUUUCUCUGGUUCACUCCUUUCCCCCCCAUGAUCAGAAGUGGGAGUUGCUGAACGUCCACCAUUUGGUGGUUGAGAUCCUGGGUUACUGCCAGGUCCUUGCUGAUCUUGUCUCACCUUGACUCCAAUACUUUCUAAGAUGAUCCGCAAGGUAGUGGCUCUCUCCGAGGUAAGAUCCUUCAAGUCUUCUUUGUUUUGCUCCUCAUAAUAUCCUCUCUCUUCAACAAACUUCACAUCCCUUGAUACCAGCACCCUUCUUGUGUCUGGAUUAUAACACUUGUAUCCCUUCUGAGUUGUAGAGUAGCCAAUAAACAUUGCCUUAGUACUCCUAGCUUCAAGCUUGUUUCUCAACUCCCCGGGUAUAAAAACAUAACAUAAACACCCAAAGAUCCUUAUAUGUUCUAAUGAGGGUUUAUGUUUGUUGAGAACCUCAAAUGGUGACUGCCCUUUCAGGAUUAGUGUGGGAGUCCUGUUGAUUAGAUAGCAGGCCGUGGCUACUGCAUCACUCCAAAACUUCUUAGGUACGUUAGCUUGGAACAUCAUUGACCUUGCAACUUCCAUAAGGUGCCUAUUCUUCCUCUCAGCCACACCAUUCUGUUGUGGAGUGUAGGGACAGCUUGUUUGAUGAAGAAUUCCAUACUGUGAUAAGUGUUGCUUGAAAGCUUGUCCAAUGUAUUCUCCUCCAUUAUCUGACCUGAAAAUCUUAAUCUUGGCUUGAUAAUGGUUAGUUACAUAGGAUUGAAAAUUUUUAAAUGCAUCAAGUACCCUAUCUUUAGUUGGAAUUAAGGUUAACCAGGUGUAUUUAGAUUUUUCAUCAAUGAAUGAGACAUAAUACUUAUGAUUCUCUCUAGAUAAACAAGGAGCAGUCCAUACAUCAGAGUGAAUAAGAUCAAAGCAAUUCUCAUAAACCGUAGAAGAGUUUGGAAAUACAGUUCUACAAUGCUUGCCUAAAAUGCAAGCUUCACAAUCAUUGUUUUCAAAAGAAACACCUGGCAACAUCAGUUUCAAAGCCUUAUUAUGAGGGUGUCCUAGUCUAGCAUGCCACAAUGCAUUUUUAUUUAAACUAGAAGCAGUAGUAAAAGAGCAGCUAAUGUCAGAAACAGGAGCAAGAUCUUCAAGCAAAUAUAAGUCUCCUUUUGUUACUCCUUUUCCAAUCACUUUGCUGCUUUCAAUAUCCUGAAACUUCACAUCAUUAGGACUAAAUAUGACAUUGCAUUGCAAGUCAGUUGCACAUUUCUUGACAUAUAGAAAGCUUUUGAGUCUUUACUAAACAGUUUAAGUGUUCCUAUUCCUUUAAUUGGAACCUUAUCACCAUUUGCAAUCAUCACGUGACCCUUAGUAGGCACAGUGUUCUUAAUUAACUUAGUAUCACUAAUCAUGUGAUGUGAUGCACCUGAAUCUACAAUAAGAGGUCUAGUUGAUUGAUUACUAGCAAGGUGAGCGAGUAUACUAGAUGGCAAUCUAAGUCUCCUACGGUCCUAGCAAUCAUGGAAGCACCAUAAGAAUAAUGAUAUGAUCAUGGACCAGCACAAGGAUGGAGAUGAAGAGCUCAAAGACAAAUCAAGUGAAGAAGAGGAUGCCUUAGUCAUUCCACCAGGUCCCAUCACUCGUGCCAAAGCAAGAAGACUCAAAGAAGCUGUUGGAAGUAUACUUAUGAUCUCAUGGAAGCAAGAAGAUAGCCUUGAUGGACGUUUGAUCAAUCAAGACACUCUCAUCACCAUUCAAGCCAUUGUUUCAAACUGAUCAUCAUCUAAGCAAGUGCUUGUGUGUGCUCUUUUCCUAACCUUUGGUUUUGUCCCAUUGGGUUUUCCAAAGGCAGGUUUUUAAUGAGGCCACAAGUUACUUACAUAAACCUUAGAUGAUGUAUCAUGGUUCCACCUUAUGUUAUUUUUAAACUAUGGUUUUUAUUUCAUGUUUUAAACUCUUUUCAAAUUUGAAUAAGUCUUUAGUCUUUGUUGUAGUUCCAAGGGAGCCUGUUCCCUUUAAUGAUCUCGAGAAUGUGGAGCCUGUUCCAUACUUCUCUAUAUAAGCUUGUGUGCGUUCUCUCUUUUGGAAUACAAUCUUCUUUCUACAAAAUCUAUCAGAUUUCUUUGUUCUCUCUUUACUUCUCAUCAAGUCUUGAGUGAAUUCCGUUGGUGUGUCAUAUCCAACAACUAAGGGUGUCUAUUUUGGUGUGUAAUAUCCAAGCUAGUCAUCUAGGAGUAUCAAGGAGUCUUUCCGCAACUCUUUGUGUCACCAUACGAGCCAUCACCUUGAUAAACUUGAGUCUCUGAUUCGUUUAUACAAGGAUCUAUCCAGUUCAAUCCAAAGAAACAUCCUAGGAGUUCAUUAAGUGGUAUCAGAGCUACUUUGGAUUGGGAAGUUUUCGAUUUCUCUUUGGUUUCAAAUAAACUCUUCAACUUCUUUGAUUACCAUUGAUAGAUCUGUGAUCUGUUGUUGUUUCUCGUAUCAUCUAAGUAGCAUAUCACCUGAUUGCUAAUCAUCUGUGUUGAAUCCUGUUAGAUCUAAGUGUUCUUAUCAUAUUUGAAAUCAAACUCAUCCGAUCCGUGUGAAGGAAGUAAUCGAAUCGCUUGAUCUGUUGAAUCACUUGCUGAAUAAUUUGAUUUGUGAUAUUCUUGUGAUAGAUCUGUUCUUAUUUAUCUUGAAUCUGAUCUGCGUAAAUCCAAAAUUGAUAGAUCUGAUCUUAGUCUUGUCGAUUUGAAUUCUCUAAACCGUGAUCUACAAGUUUUCUAUUUUUUUUGAAUCUUUUGAAAGUUGUUUCCGCGUCGACUAAUUGUUCUAAAUUGAUUCUUGUGAACAUCUUACUUGUUUGAGUGUUUUCUGAAUCAGGUACCAUGGUGAAUGAGUCGGAAGAAGAAGCAGAACUCGUGAGACAGAACAGGUUAUUGAGAGAUCAGAUGACUGAGCAAUUAAACCGAACGAUGAUCACUACCGUUGCUGAUAUGAUCAAGAGCAGUAUUGAUGAGAUCCUAGGAUGAUGCUCUGGAACAGAUGGGAUAAUCCUUGCAGAAACGAAUCAAAAGACUCAAGCUUCUCAAGGUAUGUGGAUCGAAUGGUGACACAAGAGGCUGCGGAAAGGCUUCUUGAUACUCCUAGGCUUAGAUCGGAUAUGACACACCUCUCUAAAGCCCUUGGGCGUUGGAUAUUACACACCAACAGACUGGAUAUUACACACCAGACACACUUCAACUCGUCCAAGACAAGAGAGAAGAGAGAAAAGGGUUUUUGAUAAAAGAUUGCUUAAUGAUAAAGGGGGGGUCACGACCAGAAUAUAAAGAGAGGCCCUUGUACAUGCACAAGGUCUCGAAAAUAGAAAUAAAAAUAAAGGGAACAGGCUCCCUUGGAAACUAAACAAAGACCAAGUUUUCGAAAUUAUUCAAAACAUAAAACAUAUGAUAAAAAUAACAUAAGAUAGAUAAUGUGGUUGGUCCGGGAUCAUCAUCUAGGAGAUGUGAAAGUAAACUUGUGGCCUCGUUAAAAACCUUCCUUU